rnacentral:lncRNA from 1 species
CACUCAACUGAGAACAUGACACCCCUCCCUGAGAGGUGACCUCAGGGACUUAAAAAGACUUUAAGGAGUAACUGUUCAAGCCUUGAAAUAGCGCAGGAAUAAAUAAUCUUUUGAGGUACAACAUGGGCAGCUUAGAAUCUCUAACUAGGGGACGUCUCUUGAAAAUUUUAGGAACUUCUCACCCCUUUCGGAUCUGUCUAGGGGUUCAUCAGGAUCAUCAUGAAAUAGACAUAUAGAUGUCAGUAGGAGCAGAAGGUUGCUGGUUUCCAUUAUGCAUGAUCUAGAACUGUCAUCCUGACAUAUUUCAGUUUAACCUGGCUGAAAGAUUCCUAACAUAAUCUUAAAGACGUCAAGAACAAUUUGCAGGUAUGUGUGUGUGCAUGAUUGCAUGUGUGUGCAUGAAAGUGUACGUGCAUGUGUGUGUGCAUGUGUGUGUGCAUGGGUGUGUGCAUGGGUGCAUGUGUCUAUGUGUGUACGAAUGCAUGCAUCUGCAUGUAUAUAUGUUUCCUUACUUAUAUAUUUUCAUCCCAGGAGGACAAUUGUCUUACAGGUGUAAAGUUCUGCUUUUUCCUCUGUUAGGGUUUUUGUUACACUCAACAGGCCUUUUGUCUAAUGCAUUGACACGUUAAUGAAAAACAAAAGGCAGUUUCAUCAAAAGAGACAAGAUUACUGGAAUCAUAAAUGGAGACCAUCAGGGAGGCUAGCAACAACAAUAAUAAUAAAUUGCAUCGAUUGUCUACAGAAACCUGCUUUUCUAAGGUACUUUUGAUAAUUACCUGUCAAUGUUUCAGUGUCAACACCCACUCUUUUGAAUUGAUGAAGCCUAUAUAUAAUCACAUGAAAUUCUUGUGUUUGCCUCUUGAAGUGCAUUCAUUCCCAGGCAUGACUAGGGCAGGGGUUAUUUUCUUUUUCUAGGUAGGGAAAGUGGCCUUGUUUGAGUUUGAUACAUAUAAGCAUUGCUUUUGGGUGGAAGGGAAGCCAAACAAAAUUUAACAAAGAAGCAUCAGCUGCCCUGGAAAAGCAGACGAGAACAUUAGCUGGCCUGGGUGCAGGUUAAGUUGUGUCUGUCUCCAACCUGACACUUGUCCUUCUCUCUGUCAAACUCAGGUAGAGCCUAACUUGUUACAUCUAUCAGGCACUGUGUUCAACAGGGGAGAUGGGAAAAAAAAAAGAAAUCUAGUGAAAUCUAUGUUAGGAGUGUAGGAACUUUAAGGGUUAUCAUUUGUCUGACCACUAGCAUCCAAAGAGACUAUGUAUGACAUACCUAGCCUAACUGUGUUAGAGAUGAAGAAACAGGGUCACAGAAAGGGUAAGUAAAUUAUUUAAAAUCACGCAGAUAGUUAGGGGGGUAAGUGGUGGACCAAAUUUUAAACUCAAUUCUCAGAUGGAUUUUUUUGUAACUAUUAAGCUUUAGUGUGCAUCCAUAAGUGAGAUAAGGUUAUGAUCAUGGAAUGUUAAGAACUUAAAAAAGGAGGAAUUACAUCCAGUUUGAGGGAUAAAAGUAGGACUUUGUGGAGAAGGUGAAUUGUAGCUGGGGAGGAUUAAGUUCAGUGAGGUGGAAACAUAUCAUGGAGGUCUUUGUUGAAGGAAUCGCAGAACAGGGUCCAGAAGAUGCCGUGAUAAACGUGCGGUGGCAUGGUUUGUAGUAGGUUUGUCACAAGGUCAUUAGUACCAAAACCUAGGAGGAAUGGGAAACAGAAUGGCUUAAUUUCCCUGGGGAAAAUCAGUCAGGAAGACCUCACUAGCAUUUAGGCGGAGCUUCUGUUGGACCUGGCCUCUCCCUUAAUCUUUUUCUCCCAAGUUUUGAUUUGCUACCUCCUAUUGUGUGCCUUCUAACUCUACUUUUUAUAUAUUCUAGUUCUCUCUUCAAGGAGAAGCCCAUUUUUGCAUCUAAUAUUUCCAUUCCUAUGGCCAUUGGACGGCAUAAAAUAAAAUAGAAAAAUGCCCAGAAUUCUAAAUACAGUAUAAAAUAUGGUAUAAUCCCCCAGUUCUCCAUCAUUCCUCAUGUUUUAAACAACUGGGUAUUUCCCAAAUGGAAACUCAUGGAUCCUACAUAUGUAUUCCGCACCUAGCUGGAGCUGUUACCAGCUAUAUUCAUGUAUAACUCAACUAAUGUAAUUACUAGAUUUUACCAAAACCAAUUUUAUAUUUUGCUAAAUGUAUAUGGUUAUCACUAUAGUUGCCAUUGACAUUCAUGCGUUCUUUUGGUAAUUCUUUCUUUAUUUAAUGGUGCCAGUAAUGUGAACUAUUCCAUCCACCUUUAACCAGCGGAGACCAAUUCACGAUGUCAACCUGCAGGAUGAGAGCAGACUGCAAUUUCCCACUUUCUGGCUGCAUGUGGGUUGCCUCCUAGUGGGGUUUCCAGGCUUCCAUUCCACUCAACAACCUUGGAUCUUAGGAGUUCCACUCCUAGGCAGAGUCUCAUUUCCAGAGAUGUUGCCUUUGCAUAAUUUCACAGCUGGGGAUAUCUGUAGCUCAGGUAAAUCAAAUAAGUUUGUGCCUCUGCACAAAUAAAAUCUUGUUCCCUUUCCCUAGGCCCCCAUUACCCUGUUAUAACCAUUGCUUGGGCUCUGGUUCUUUCUCAGACCUCCUCACCAUAUUGCUUUUCAUGCCUAAAAAUAACUUAGGCAUCCAGCACUACCACUGCUAGGUAUAUAGAUCCAAAGGAAAUGAAAUCAGUAUGUCAAAGAGACAUCUGGAACCAAGUGCAGUGUUGUUCACCUAUAGUUCCAGCAAGUGAGAGGCUGAGGCAGGAAGGUCACAAGUUCAAGACAAGCCUCAGCAAUUUAGUGAGACCCUCCGAAAGUUAGAACUCUGUAUUGAAAUAAAAAAUGAAAACCAAAGGACUGGGGGAUGUAGCUCAAUGGUAAAACAUGCCUGGGUUCAAUCCUCAGCAUCAAAACAAAAAAACAUACAAAACCCACAUCUGUGCUCCAAUGUUUAUUGGGGCACUAUUCAUAGUAGCCAAAUUAUGGAAUCAAUUUCAAUGAUCAUCCAACAAGACGAAGGGAUAAAAGGUAGCAUAUAAUAUACACAAUGGAAUAUUAUUUAAUCAUAAAAAGGAAACUAAUUUUGUUAUUUGCAACAACAUAGAUGAACUGAAAGAACAUUUUAUUAAGUAAAAUAAAUACUGAAUGAUCCCAUUUAUAUGUGAAAUCUAAAAAAGUUGAUUUUGAUGAUGCAUCAAUUAGAUUUAAUCAUAAUGUAUAUAUCCUUUAAUACAUGUUAUGCAUGAUGAAUGCAUACAAGUUUACAUGUCAAUUAAAAGAAAAUUGGAGGGGGGAAAGGAAAAGAGAAAGAACUUUGGCUUUGCAAUUAUUUUCUAUCCCUCCUCUAUAUUCCUUGCUAGGAACUUGAGACCUGUAGUUAUCAGCACUGGUGGUAGUGAAGGGGAGGAGCUACAGCCGUAGGUGACCUGGGCUCAACUGUUUCUGUGCCAUUCAAUGUCCAGCCACCCCCAUCACCUGCCUGGUCAGCUGAAGGAGUCUUCUAUACAAGUUCCUCUGCUUUCUUUCCUAUCUCCAAUUUUAUUUCCAUAGAGUGGGUAGAAUAAUCACAUAGUUGGCUAUUAUUUUUUUUAAUCUAAAAGCAAUAUAUAUAUAUAUAUAUAUAUAUAUAUAUAUAUAUAUAUAUAUAUAUAGUUUUUAAAAAAGGAGUCAAGCUCAAAAGUCCAUAUGAUGAAAACUAAGACUCUCAGAUAAGUGAGCCCUCUGGUCCCCAAAGACAUCUUCCUAUAAGCAAACACAUUUGCAGUUGAUUUUGUGGUUUUCAGAAAUAGUCUGUGUAUAUGUGUAUGCUAUGAUUUAGAUAUUAGGUAUCCCCCAAAAGCUCAUGUGUGAGACAAUGCAAGAAAGUUUUGAAGAAAAAUGAUUGGGUUAUGAGAGCCUUAACCCAAUCAGUGAAUUAAUCACCUGAUGUUAUUAACUGAGUGGUGACUAAAGGUGGGUAGGGUGUGGCUGGAGCAGGUGGACAUUGGGGGGUGUGCCUUUGGGGUAUAUGUUUUGUAUCUGGUAAGUGAAGUCUCUCUGCUUCCUGGUGUAAUAUUUUGAGCCACUUGUCUCGACCACAUCCUUCCAUCAUGAUGUCCUGCCUCACCUCAAGCCCUGAGGUCGGAGCUGGCUGUCUAUUGGCUCAGAUCUCAAAUAUGGUUUUUAAAGCAUCUGUGUGAUCUACCAGCCUCUUUCCUGACUGUGAAACCCUGUCUGAUGUCCUCCUCCUCUUCAUUUUUUAGUUUCCACACUAGACACAUUAGAUCCUCAAACAUCUUAUCUUACCGCCUAAGAUUUUUUGCAUGUGCUUUUCUUGUUGACCAGAGUAGCUUUCUCUUUGACACGAAAGUUUUGGUUGCUUCUUUCAUAUACUUACCGUCCACCCUUAGCAGCCAUGUGGUUUGGAUGGAAUAGACUUACCCUAAAAUAUAUAGGUCCACAAAUCCAUCCUUCUUUCCACAGUGAUUGGUUUAGGCAUCUCUUGAUGACAAGGAUUAGUUGGAGAUGACUUAAUGAGCAUUAAAAGGAACUCUGUCUUUCUCUGAAUGUGAAUAAGCACAGUGUGGUUGUUCCUGGAAGACACUAUCAUGAUAGAAACUAGGAGACUGACACCAACAUAUAAUUUGGAAGGAUAGCUAAAGUCUCUGCGAAACAAAGCCAGUGCCUGGAUCUAAUUGUUCCUGAAGCUGUUAAGAGCUCAGUGACCAAUAAAUAUCUUUGUGUUUUAAGCAAAUUUGCAUUGGGCUUUCUCUGACAGUCCAGACAACUUAAAGCAUCAUGAUCCAUGCUCUUCUUCCUCCCACCAUUCUCUUAUCUGGCUAACUUUUGCCCAGGCUUAAAUGUUACUUCCUCAAAGAAGCUUUUCCUGACUUUCUAAGACUCAGUUCUGUCUUCCUUUCUUUGUUUUCCUUGUAUUGAAGUCUUUUCCUCCUGUACACUUGUCACAAUUAUAGUGGGUGAUUAUAUUUAAUAUCCUUCUCCUACCAUGGACUGUCAAUCAGUGAAGGUGGGCCAUGUCUGUCUGGUUCACAGCUCUUGACCCAAGCUCUGACAUGUACCUCUCGAAUCCCCAGAAUAUGUUACUAGCUAAAAUCCAAUUUCUGUCAGUGAAUCUAAUCUCCAUGGAGAGGAUGUGUGGGUUAUGUUUAAGAGCUCCAUUCCAAUGCAGGUCAGAAUCCUGGAUCAGAAGCCUCAAUCCUCUCUGUUACUAUUUUUGGUUUGUUUGUUUGAGAGAAGUUACUGAAAAUUUUCAGUAACUUUAAGCUUCCAUUUCUUUGUUUUUAAAACGAGGAUUAUAACAGUAUCUGAUCCAUGGGGUAAUUGUGAGAACUAAAUGUCAUGAUGCAUGUAGUAUGUCUACUGCAAUAAUAAGUACUCAAUAUUUUCUAUCACAUAGUAAAUAAUAAAGAUAUCACAUGAUAAUCCCACAAGUAGCUAUCGGUUAUCAUUAUUACAAUUGGAUUUCCACUUCUUGAAUCGCAAAAUCCGAUUUCUCUUAAUUCUGCUCCAGUGCUUUUGAGGGGCCUUUCUUAUGAAUGAUUUAGCAAUUUACAUAGAAUUGACCGAAUGCUGGAUUUUUAAAAAAUUAUUAUUAUUUCUACUUGAUUCAGGUUCUUGUGUAAUCGAGUUCGUUGGAACAACUAUUAUUCUUCAAAAACGAAAAUGGAUUUGAAGGAGUAUUUAUAUUGAUUUAUUGUUGGUUGUUUGUUGAAAUGUAAAUAGCCCUGAAUGUGCCACUCACUGGGAAAGGACAGUGCUUUUCAUAACGAACAAAAUCGCCUUGUUUCACUUUAAUAACCUGCUUGUGGUCAAACCCGUCAUGGGAUUCCUUAAACACUGAAGAAUGCCUGCUAUUGUCAUUUGCAUGUCAAUGAACAGACGGUCUCUGCUCCUCGCUGUCUAUUACACAGCACUGCCGGUUUCCUAACUUGGGGACUGCUCUGUUUAGAUGUGAAAUGCACAUGUCUACCUCUUUCAAACACACAGCGUGUCCCAAGCACAGGCAACAGCUGCUGAGGCGGUUCUCCCACUUCUCUAUUGUGUUUUUGUGGAAGUUGUAAGGGUGAGAAAUAGGUUGCCCACCCCGAAAUGAUAUGGGCAUAUAUGUAUGUCUUUCUUUCAUAGCUGUAUGCUGUGAACAAUCAUUUUGAGUUUCAAAUUGGAUUUAUGUAAGAAUAAAAAUAGAGCAUGGGAUUACCUAGGAAAUCCAGACUUUAAAAUUCCAAAGAAAACAACCUAGAACUUAUUCCUCCACUUAUCAUCCCAUUUCUGCCAAUACCUUUUCCCAGAGUUGGAAAUGGUCUUUCUGUUUGACUGACUUGGAAAGAAAUGGCAUGUUAUCUCUCCCGGAAGGGCCACUGAGGGAAUUGAGGUUGAAUGCAGAGUUUUGUGAUUCUAGACGGAUGCCCAGAGCAGCACAGAAAGUGGGGACUGCAAAUUGAAUGAUGAUCAUCUCUAGCCUUCCUUGUCCAGUUCUAGCAUAAUGCCUUUAAUCAUGGUUUUAAGAGACCUUAAUUGCCACUGCAGCAUUUAAUAGCAGUUUCACCAGAGUCACAAUAUGGACAUGGAUUUAGUAUUCAGAGAGGCUUAGUGGGAAUGGGAAGCUAAAGACACCAUCUCCCAACCCUCUCAGGCUAGUUAUUGUGUUCCAUCCUAUGAAAACACUAAUUUUGGUAAAUACCUGUAUGUCCCCAGAUUUUUGUUGUUGUUCAAUUGAAAAUUGAUUAUCACCAGGCCUGGUGGCACAUCCCUUAUAACCCUAGUGGCUCCAGAGGAUUCACCGUAGGAGGAUGGUAAGUUCAAAGCCAGCCUCAACAACUUAUCGAGGCCCUAAGCAACUUAGAGAGACCCUGUCUCUAAAUAAAACAUAAAAAGGGCUGGAGAUGUGGCUCAAUGGUUUUACGCUCCUGGGUUCAAUCCCUGGUACUAAACAACAACAAAUAAGAUAAAAAAGAAAAUUGAUUAUCAAUAUUGUACUCAUUCUUAGAAAAAAUCAAGAACUCACAUUCACACACAGGAAAUAGCAAUGAUCAUAGAUGUUUUCUGCCUGGGACUGUUCUAGAUUCCAUCUGGGAAUUAAGUCGGCUAACUCUCUUCCACAACCAUACAAUGAGAGACAUAAUAUUAUUAUCCAAUUUUUCUGUUGAGCCGCUGAGGCAAAGAGCCGUCCAAUGACUUGCCCAUGGCAGAAGUGUGUAUGUGAAAAGCACCGUCUGUCUCUGCUAUGGACGUGUGAUACUAACCAGAGGCAGCAGCUGCUAAGGCAGUUAACCAGCUUCCCUACUGUGAUUUGUGGAAAUUAUAAUGGAAAGAAAUAAGUGGCCUGCCCCCACUAUCUUGCUAUACAGAUUCAAGUAAAUGGUGAAGCUAUUAAUGAAAAUAUUAAUAACCCCUAUUAAUUGAGUGCUUCCUAAAUUCCACCACCACUUUUCUAUGGGCUUUCUGUGUAGAGAGGAUCCCCAACUUGACAAUGGCUUGACUUAAUGAUUUUUUUGACUUUCAUAUAGUAUACAAGUGAUAUGCACUCAAUAGAAACUAUAGUUUAUAUUUUGAAUUUUAAUCUUUUCCCAAGCUAGUGCCAUGGUGUGACAUUCUCUGAUAGCUGGACAUGGCAGUGAGCUCAUACCCAGGUGAUCACAAGAGUGAGCAACCGGUCAUUUGCAGUGUCCUGAGUUGCCAGUGUUUUCUGGAUACAAGUAUUCAAUAAAUUUCAUGAGAUAUUCAGCACUUUAUUAUAAAACAGCCUUUGUCUUGGGCACAAUGGCAAAUGCUUGCAAUCACAGCUACUCAGGAGUUUGGGGCCAGAGGAUAGUUCAAGCCCAAGAGUUCAAGGACAGCAUGGGCAAUGAAGUGAGACCUGGAUCAAUAAAACAUAUAAUAAAAUAAACAAUCAGACACUAUAUAUAAGUAAAAUUAGGCUUUGUUGUUAAAUGGUUGUACACAACUGCUAGCUAAUGUCAGUGUUCUGGGCAUGUUUAUGUUGGGCUAGGCUGAGCCAUGAUGUUUGGUAGGUUAGGUGUGUGAAACGAACUUUGACUUAUGAUCUUUUCAAUUUAUGGUGAAUCUAUUGGAAAGUAAGUUGAGGAGCAUCUGCAUUAGUCCUUACAAAAGGCUAAAGAGAGUUAUUUUUAUGCUUCUUUUGGGGGUGAUGGUUUCUAAGGCAGACAGAGGUAACGCUGAGCCCUGUCUCAUUUCUAGAAAAUAAGAGAGCAGGGAUUUGAACUCCUGAACUUGUGUGAUCACCACUAAUCGGUAGCUCCUCUAGAUGGGAAAACUCUUCCUCCAGGCCUCUGGGAGAAUGGCGUGGGCCCCCACACUGUGCUGGCUGCCAAGGGCACGAGCUAACCUAUUGGGUUUCUUCUUCUUCUGCCAAACCUCAGGAUCUUUCCUGAGAUCCCUUCCCUCCAUCCCACACAGGCUCCCCGUGUUCCAAUUUCUUUAAGAGCUGACUUGGGCUUGUUGGCAGCUGGCCAACUGAGAACCUACUUCACAACAACAUGGAGUGGGAGCAAAUGAGUUAAUAUGUUCCAGAUACUUACAUAUUUUUGGCAUAGAAUCUAACCAAUAUAAUCACAGCUUAUUAUCUUUCACAGGCCACAAUCAUUCUUUUAUUCGUUCAAUAAACAUUGAAUGACUGUGAUGGCCUGGGCACUGUGCUAGGCCGACAUUAGUAUUUGCGAUGGAGUGUUUUGGAAAUGCAAUGCCCCAUUCAUCCGAGGGGCUUUAAUGGUGGAAGCCUUUGGCACUCCGGCAAGCAGGCUUUUUGGCUCUUCUCAAGUCUCAUUAAUUCAAUGGCCAUUGACUGCUUAUCUGAACGGCUGGUCUCACUGGCACCACCUUUGAAAAAAAGUGGUAGGAUUUGAUUCCAUUGUCAAAGAAGGGAAGAAAAUGACUUGUCUGGGGUUAGAUGACUGCCCCCACCACCCCCAAUUCUACAGGAUGGCAUUUUUCUGGCCAAGAAAACAAAAUUUAUAAAAUGAGACAUAACUGAUAGGAAAUUCUUCUUCAAAAGAGAAUUUUCCAUUUGCCUCUAUGAUGAAAUCAGGACAAUGCUCUUGUCAUUUUUUUUUUUUUUUUUCCUUUUUUUCUAGUUGGUUUGUUUCAAUGACGGUUUUUUUUUUUUCUUUUGUCUACUUCUAGCCCAUUAGGAAGCCUGCUUCUUUGGACAGGACCUGCCCCUGCAUACAGCAUUGUUUAGUUUUAGCUUCUUAAUCUUGUCUCUGAAUCUCAUACAGGACGUCUGGGUUUUGCUAGUGCUUUUCUUUGUGGAGAGUCCUUUCUGACUCCAAAACAACCAAUUUUGAAGCCAUGAACAUUUCGGGGACUCGGAGCUGCAAAAUACACAACACACAGUGUUUUGAGAUCUAAUGAAGACUCUGUCAGGCCUGAUUUGGAUCUUUUAAUGAGGGUCUGAUUGAAUUUGCCAUCUCCAUAACAGUUGUGAGUCUUUGGGGCCAGUAAAUGAGUUCCUUCCCUGUUCUGCACAGGAGCACCGAUGGCCCUGAGUUGUCAGCGCCAACACUGGUGUGUCACAAGUUGUCAGGGGUCACACAUUUGGUGGAUGACUUACUAGGUCAUCUCAGAUAAGCCCAUUGAAUCUUUCUGUGUUUUGGUUUUUCCGUCUGAGAACACAGGAUUACACACACUGGGCUUCUCAGGAAAGUGCUCUGAGGAAGGACAGAGGUGUGCUGCUUAAGGGGCUUUUGUAAAAGAGCUUUGCCUCACUUCUCAUUAGAAAGAGUGUCAUCUUGAGGUGGUUUAGCAACUUUUUGGCAGGAUAGUCCGAGGAAAAGGACUUGCUGAAGAAACAUCAGAGCCAAAGGAAGGGAGGGUCCUUCCUGGUAUUUCCUAUAUUUCCUAGUGGACUUCUCCAAGGGCUCAUGGCUACUGUUAUUUCUCUAGGAAAACCUGAAGUUGGGAGGACACCUUUUGUGAGUCCCAAAUCAUCAAUGAUCAACAACCUCUUGGUGGUUUGGUUCUUUCGUUCCGAGGGGACUUCAGUGUCGAAGGUGGCCUUGUAGCUGCUUGUCACACAGAACACAUAAACAAUGGUCCCCGUGUUGCCAGUCCUUGGAGUUCUGGAGGUCAGUACACUCUGGUUUUGUCCUUCUAUGUUAUGAUCCAGAUUGCCUUAGAUCUCCCAGAGCAGAUAUGCUUUGUAAACAAAAUCAGCAUUUACUUUGGGGUGAUUAAAACUGUUCCAGUAAAUUCCUUAAUAAGAACCCUGUGUGGAAAUACCUGAAGUCAGAGAAUGGUGUUUCUUCCAUUAACCUGCAGUUCCUGUAUUUCCAAACACUAGUUGAAAACUUUUCGUGGAUGUAAGUGAAACUUAGUGGAACCCUUUAUUUCCCAUUACUAUUUUGCUUACCUAUUCUUCCCCACCCCUUUGAAACUACCAGAGUGAGGCCUGUUCCUUCAUCUGCGUGAACUUCCCACUGGCAACCCCCACAAUUCUGAAAAUCAUUCUGUUUCCUCAAAGGGAAUCAUCAGAUCUCAGUGUGUGAUCACUGCGUGGUGGUGUGCUGUUCUUCUCUGCCUGGGCAUGCCCACGUUUCCUUACAGAAAUGUAAACAGAGGUGCUGCAGUUUUGCCCCAGAGCUGAGGGUGGGACUUUGUAUCAGUAACAUCCCCAAAGGGAGUCAGGAAACAUUGCUCCUCCCCCUGAUGGAUUUGCAGGAGGAGGGGCUCUCACUGUUCUUUUGGUGAGAGAACAAUGUGGCCUCUUUGGGGGUAAAAUGCCACCUAGUAAGAGCUGUGACAAUUUUUCAGUGUCUGUUACUCCACCCUUUAGAAAUUGCCAGCAAUGUCUAAAUGGGGAAAUAGAUAUGUGGUUAGAGCUUUAAAUCAACAGUUAGGUUUAUAGUGUAGUGUUUAUACCAGCUCAGAACCCGAAUGGAUCUAAACACCCAGUAAGAAGAAUCUGAUAAAAUGAAUCAUGAGGUCCAUCUUCUGUCUCUCUCCUUUUCAGAUAGAUAUCUAUUUCUACCAUUUAAAAUGAGGAUGUAAAAACAGUGGCUUUUAAAAACAAAUUUGUAUUAGAGAUACCUUUGAAAAGCUUAGUGAAAGCUAGAAGCCCUCCCCCCAGAAAAAAUAUUCAUAUGGUCAGCAUUUUCAUAUCAUAUCAGGAAAUUUCAACAAAUACUUGUCCGUCACUAGAAGGUUAAGGAUUCUGAACAUAUAGAACUGAGAUAAAUCAUAUUUAAUAAUUUGGAUGUAUGGAGUAGUGGCACAAGCAGGUUACAAAAGAGUAUAAUCCUGCCUUUGUGAAAAAAAAAUAAACCCCACUAAAUAUGUAAAGAGAAAGCUUUGAAAGGCAGACUGUGAAGAGGUUAGCAAGGGCUUCUCUGGGCUGAUAUUAUCCUUUCUUUUCUCUUCUGCCCUCCAUUGUUCUUUCAUUUCUUUGUUCUCUUCUUCUUUUAUUUUUUCCCUCCCUUUAUUUUUUGCUUAUUUAUAUCUUCUAACCUUUCUACAAUUAAUAUAAAACUGCUUUGGUAAGAAGAAAUAUGUCAGACAAGUUUGUUUGGAUUUCUUUUGAAAAAGAGCUGUCCUCCCUCUGGCCAGUGGUUAGAAAACCUGGGGACAUUUUUAGCUCCUUUUUUUAUUCAAUAAGUGAUGAAAUUCGAGGAGAAAGGGACAUUAGAAUGAAGGACCACUAUUUUGGAGUGAGAUUUAAUUAGGACCAUAUGAAAGGAAACAGUUUGAUGGGCUUCUCUUUAACAUGAAGUACAGAAAAAAAAAAACACAAGAAAAACUCAAAAUGAAUCAGAACAAAUUCAUACAUGUCAAAACCACACACAGUGACCAAGAAAAGCUUUUCUAUGGAUGGCCUUUUGGCUUGACAUCAAGAAGAGCUGCAUUUCCCUUCCCCAAAGUCCUCUGGGGUAUCUACUGCAGCUUGAUGCCUUGGGGGAUGAUGAGUCAGAGGUCUAUUCCCAUAGUUCCUAUUUCUUUUGCCUUAGAAGGGGUCUGGGAGAAGUCUUUCCAUUUUUGAAGACCUUGUUCCAUCAACUGGAAGGUGAAAUUGGUACUUUCUCUGCAAGUGCUUAAGAACAGAGAAGUUAAUUUUUGGACCUUUACUCAGUACUCACACCUACUUUCUUGAGUGAUAGGGUGACUUCAUCUCCCUUUGGGAGACUCUCAUCUCACACUCUGAAUUGCUGUGGCCUGAGUGGGGCUGGCAUCGUUCUCCAUCCAGUCUCAGGAUGACACACGACUCAAGCUUGGUCAGUUAGGGAUGCCUCUCUCUCUCUGUCUCUUUCCCUCUGUCUCUGCCACAAUGUCGGGCUCAGAGAUGGGUCUAUUGACCCAUUAGUGAGAUACAAAGAGAACUUUUGAUAGAGCCAGGGUUUCUCAGCUGGGAGAAUAUAAGCCUAGAAUUGUUCAGGAACCUGCAGAAGAAUGAAGGCCAAACAGCCCAGCAGAGCCACGUGAAGGAAGAAGGUGGGGUGAAUAUCAAGUUCUGGGACUUCCUUUGGGCCCAAGAUCUACAUGUGCCUAAAUCAAACUUGGCAAUCAUUUCCAUUUUUUUUUUAAGCCAUUUUGAGUUAAGUUUGUUUCCCUUACGACCAACUGGGUUCUGAUUAAUAUGUUUAUUUAAUAAUAAAAAUAACAAUUGAGUUCUUCUCAAGUGACAGACACUGUAAAUCCUUGCCAUGCAUUUUCAGUCAGUUCUCCCAUAAGUGAAUUAAAGGAAACAGGUUCAGAAAGGUUAAGUCACAUGCAUGAGAUCCCUCCAACAAUAGUCGUAGAUCCAGAUGCAAACCCAGAUAUGUCUGAUUCUAAAAUUCCAUCUCAACCAGCAUGGUAUCAGCUCAGCAGUGACCCGUGAUCAAAGUCAGGCCCAACAGCCGGUGGACUGCACAGUGGGAUCAUUUGUUUUUUAACUGCUAUUUACAGAGGGGUGCACUCAGGCUCACAAAUGAGCACCUACUGAGCAUGUGCAAUAUUAGGGGUCAAACUCUUCAACUUCAGUUUCCUUAUCAGUGCCUCCUUUUGUUAUCUUGUUUUGCUUUCUGAGUACCAGAACAAGGUUCAACAGAAGAAUCCCACCUGACUUCUGUGUCUUCAUUUUGCAGCCUAAGAGUGGGUGAAAUGUCUGACACACACCCUACAAGUGCUUCAACCACAAAAGAGCAGAGCUGGGGUUCUAUAAAUCCAGAGUGGGCUUUCUUUCCAUUAAUAAAAUGAAAAUAAGGAGGUCUGUCAUUUCGGCACUGUUCUUCUCUAGAGUAGGGUUUGCUUACAUUUUAUAGAACACAAGAGUUUUCUCUUGAAAAUGAAAGAAAACAGGUAAGCAUUAGCCUGGGAAAUAUGAUUUUGAGUCUACCUCGGAGGUUUGUGCUGUACUCAUAACAUCCUGUUCUUCUCAACUGGUUGUGAUGUGGUUGAUAGCAGCCCCUGCCCAGGGUGUGAACAGCUGAGCUCAGUUUUCAUAGAGAUGUUGAUGGUAAGAAGGAGGAAAUGAGCCACUUCUCCCUGCCCCUUUGUCACUCUGACAGUUAAGGAUGGGUACAGCCAGGUGCUUUGAUAGUGCACUUUCUAUUUUACCUAAAAUUAGGUCUUUCAUUCCUUUGGGAUAUUUAGUAAACUAAGAUUUUACUGGGAACCCCAAAAGUAUUAGUAAAUAGAAAAACUACAAAAAAAAAUUAAAAAGGAAAGAAAAGAAAUCAUGUGGUUAUCAAAGGAGGAAGCUGCUGAUCUGUUGAACCUUGCUCCUGUAGAGUCAGGGAAAGAAGAGUGGCUAUUGGGGAAAGAUGGGGGUUGUGGGGGGGAGGGGAAGCCUGAUACUGAGAAAAAAGUAAGUAUAAGUGAAGCCAUUUACCUUCCUAGACAAUGAGAUUUCAGACUGCUGACCUACUCCCUAAAUGGUUUUUUGGUACAAUAUGUUUAUUUAAGCUUUUAAGUGGACUUGUGUCUAACUACAUCUGUUGCAAGGAUGUAAAUGUAAUAAAGAAUAAUAUCUCACUUCUGUGGUCAGGGAGCUGACCUACAAUUAGCUCACAAGUAGAAUAGGAUUGACUUCUGCAGAUCACAUAAAAAAGACAACGUUUCCCUUCUGUCUUCUCUAUCGAGUCACAGAGUCACUGCUUGGCCAUCCAGGAGCUGGGCAAAACAGCAGGGUGUGUCUUUUGAUGGUUUCUGUUAGAGAGCACAAUGGAUGUACAGUGAUUGUGUUUCUCAUCAGGUAGUUCCAAACCUUGCCUCAUCACUGCAAGAAAGUGCUUUUUAAAUGCUUUCUAAAAAAGUUCAAGGGAAGUUCAAGAAAAUGCUUUAAGAAGAAUAGAGAGAUCUUUCGUCAAACUGAUACCUACUGAAUGGAAAUACAUCAGAACAAGGUCCGGCCAUCUAUAAUUUUAUGGAGGUGAAUCUUAUAAUGAACUGGGGAGACACUGUUCUAGUCUUCCCUCACUGGGAUAGAUAAACUCAUCAGAUUAUCAGCUUUCGCCACUCAUUCAUUGAAAUCUGGAGACAUGACUCCUGGGCAGGCCAGUUCUGUCUUCUGUUAAGGGCCCAGGUAGGAGGUAGAAGUUCAAGAUUAGAAGAAAAUGAGGGUAGUGAAAUGACAGCUGAUGCGAAUAGUCACAUGUCCAUUGAUUCAUUCAAUCAUUUAAUUAACUGCCAUUAAUUGAGCAAAAACCAAUAUUUGUCAAGCACGGUGCCAGGUGGUGGGAAACAAAUUUACCUUAGGGACAGUCACAGUUCCAUGGGCACAUUAAAAAAAAAAAUCAUACAGAGAGGGAAUGAUCAGCUCUCUCUGGAUGGGAGGAGAAGAUGUGAUAGGAAAUCAUAGAACAGGUAACACCUGAACAAGGCGUUGAAGAAUGAAAGGGAGAUGAUUUGCCUGGGAAAUAGGCAUAAUCUUUGACUGAGGCAAUAGCUUGAACAAGGACACAGAAUGGCCUGGUGGGUCUAAACAAGUCUCUGCAAUUUACUAGUACAGUGUGAGAGGAAAAAGUGGUGGGCUGUGAUUUGGUGAUUUGGCAGCAUGCACACCAUGCAGGGUCUUGGAUGCCUGUUUUGAUUUUAGGGGAAAGCACUUGGCACAACUCAGAGACCUGAACUCAUAAACAGGGAGCAGAAGAAAACAGAGGUUGCUGUUAAAGACACAGGUGAGUAGGAGCAAACUCUGGCUUUCAUUAUGCCCAUACCUUGGGAUUGGGGUUGUAGGAGUUUACCUCUAAAAUAUGCUCCAUAUAAUAAUAUGGCAACUCAUGACUUUUAGGGAAUUGCUUUGCUUUUUUCCUAAGCUGCAGAAUAUGCUUUAAAAAGAGAAAAGAGAAAAGAAAAGAAAACCACUUCUAGCUUCAAUUUUAAAAUGCCUUAAUUUGAGAGACCAUUAGUCAUGAAGGUGUUUCCAUAGCAAAUGUGUGUGGGAUGUCCUAGCUUUGUUGGCAAUGGUUCAAGGGAACUUAUAUCAUUAAAUUGGGACAAGGCCUGGCAUGAUGGCUAGAAAAUUCAUGGCACUGUUCCCAUAGCACGAGGCCUCCAUUUAAGGGCAAGAUAAAGGAAAGGCAAAGAGCAAGAGGAGAAAUGCUGGAAUGAAAACAAGUAACAAAGGAAAGAUAAAAAUGGAAAUCACAGUUCAGUGUGAAUAAUAGGAAUGCAAAUGGUGCCACUAAAAUAGGAAGGAACAUUACUUUUCAAAAAGGCAAAGCAAAGGAAAAUUGUAGUAGCAAAAGCAUUUUGCAUGGUAAAAUUGUACACUGUGUAUGCCUCUCAGAAGCAAAGCCACCUACUCUAAUUUUUCCCAGCACGAUGCCGUGAUGCUGUGAACUUGGUGAGUCAUUUUAUGAAGAUUUACUACAAAGCCCCAAUCUGCAUAUUUUUUUGUAAUACAUUUCGAUUAAAUCUUUCUUUCUUUUUUUUUUUUUUCCCAGCAGUAGCCCAAACAGCCCAUUUUAUGGCCAAAAUUUCUCAUCUGGGCUGGGAUGUAAUGCACGUUAAAAAAAAAAAAUCAGUAAGUUUAUGAAAUGAUCCCUACGGCUUUUUAUUGAGUUAAAAAAUUUUGUGCGGAGAAGUGUCUAUAGUAUGCUAGCCUUUAAGGAAAAGUAAUCUGAAUAUAAAUUUGCUUACAUUAAAAAAAAUCACAGAAAAUGUUUAUUCAUGGGAGAGUGAGGAAAUGGAAUGGAAGAGAUAGAAGCUAGAUGCAUCUGAAUAUAUUUUGUUUUUGUUUUUAUUUCAAAAGCAUAUAAAUGUUUAAUAUGAUUAUAAAAAAUUAAUCAUAAAAUGAAGCAAUUUUUUUAAUUUGAAAGGAAAAUGAUAUAAAUAAAACCAAAUCUCAAAUGAGUGGCUUAAUCUCAUGCAGAAAUUAUUUCAAGUGACGCAGUCUAUAGAUAUACCCUAAGAAAAAUGGAUAAUUCACUGUUGGUGGGAAUGUAAAUUAGUAUAGCUAGUAUGGAAAACAGUUUGGAGGUUCCUCAAAACACUAGACAUAGAAAUACUAUUUGAUCCAGCAAUCCCAUUGCUGAGGUUAUAGCCAAAUGAAAGAAAAUCAGCCUGUCAAAGAGAUAUUUGUAUCCCCAUGUCUAUUAUUAUUCUUAGCAGCCAGAAAAUGGAAUCAGCCUAAAUGAUGUGGAUGAAGGAUAAAGAAUAUGGCAUAUGUACCCAAUGGUGUAUUACUCAGCCAUAAAAAGAAUGAAAUCUUGUCAUUUGUGACGACAUGGUUAAAGCCUGGGGGACGUUAUGUUAGUUGAAGUAGUCCAGCACAGAAUGGCAAACAUUCUUUGUUCUCAUUCAUAUGUGGAAGCUUAUCAGCAAAUUGAUUUCAAAGAAGCAAAGUGUAGAACUGAGGUUAUCAAAGGUUGGGAAGGGUGGGGUGGUGGUGGGAUAAGGAGAGAUUGACUAAUGGUACAAAAUUAUAUCCAUAGAAGACAAAUUUUAAGUUCUAGUUUUCCGUAACACAGCAGGGUGACUAUAGUUAGUGAUAAUUUAUUAUAUAUCCUAAAAUAGAAGAGAGAAUUUUAAAUGUUAGCACCACAAGGAAGUGAUAAAUAUCUAAGGUGAUGGAUAUGCUAAUUAUCCUGAUUUGAAUAUCACUUAUUAUUGAAAUAUCACACUGUACACCAUAAAAUGUACAAUUAGUAUGUACAAUUAAAAAGAAAUCAAGCUGUUUUCUUAAUAUUAUUGUUGGUGAUAAUAUUGUGUUUGUUUACUUCCUUUCCUCCCUUUCAUCAUUUUUUUUCUUCCUUAAAGAUAGAAAAAUUUGGCCAUCAAUAAAAUAGUACCUGCAAUAAAUUGAAACACAUCAAGUAUAUUUAAACCUAUAGAGAUAUUAAGACAUGUGUGUAGGUGCAUCUCAAAAGCCAAAGACCAUUGGUCAUCUUUGGAGGGUGUUGGAUAAAUAACUCACAAAUUUGAGAACUAGCAAAUGAAGGGAAAACAUUGAAAAUGUUGUUUUUUUUCUGUAUAUACUAUAUCACUGGGUAACCAAAUAGAAAAUAAUUUGAUUUGAAUCAGAAAAAUGAAGCAAAAUUUGUGGAUAAUUAAAGGAAUGUUAACAAUGAUUGAAUAGUUAGCAAUACUUUGUACUUACUGUUAAUUAUCUUUAUUUUUGAUAAUUAAUUGUGAUGAUAUAUAAGAAAAUAUUCUUAUCUUUGAAAUAUGUAUAUGGGGGUGGUAUACACUAAGCAAUGUGAUAUCUUGAGUUUGCUUUAAAAUAACUUAGUGAUAUUGAGGGGAGGGGUAUUAGGUGAGGGUAUAUAUAAAACAGAAUUGACCAGAGGUUUAUAAUUAUUGAAGGUGAUGCAUGGCAUUUAUGAUCCUAUUAUUUCAUUUUUUGCAUAUAUUCGAAUUUUUCACUUAAACAGCUUCAAAUAGAUUAAUUGCUUUGCUCAUCUUUCUGGCCCUAUAACCUGAUAAUCCUGCUUUCCAGUGUAUUUUUAUGUUCAUGUGGGCAAGUAUUCAAUAAAUGUGUGGAGACCAGUGUUCUGUUGUUGUUGACAGAGUCUCUGUAGCAUUAUUCAAUGUUCUCAUUCUGGAUGAUUGGACCAGUAGAGAAAUUGAUUCUCAGCACUAUUCAAGCCAGUUAGUAGGUAGGUAACUCCUUGUGGGCAGUCAUGAACUUUCAGACAUCUGUGGUCUGGAGUACUUUUUUGAAUUACAGAAAGCGUUGCUUCUCAACCCAACUGCUCCCAAAUUGGCAUGAUAUAGCCUCGUGACUGAUUUAAUUAACUGCAGAGAGACUCAGUCAUUAAUUAUUUUACCAGAAAGCAGUUGAGCUUAUGAUUACCUUUGUUUCUUUAUCAGCCAAACUCAUGUUUCAGUACAUCGAGUUAGGUCACUUGGGGGUAUUUGCUGUCAUUCUGAAGGCUUUAAUCUGUACAAUCCUUCAAUUAUGAUACGUUUUCUUAUAUGAAUUCAUUGGUAGCUCCUGCCAGGUUUAUUUCUUCUGAAAGAAUAAUUCUCAUCUCUGAUCUCCUGAACUGAUCCUGAAUUGUCCUCCCCCCACUUAUGAUUGCUUUCCACCUCUAUUAUUCUCUUCUAACUCCUGUGCAGUUUCUACACAGGAAAUUGUGCUUUUAAUUCUGUUUAUUUAAUUUCUUUUGUUUCUGCAGACAGAAAGAAUUCUUCAUUUUAUUUCUGGUGGUUUCUUUAAAAAAGAGAGAGAGAGAAUCAUAUUGUUUGUCACUUAUUUCAUGGAUAAAAUAUCUUCCAAUGUUUAUCUCCCAGUGUCAUUUCUUAAAAGUUUUCUUCUGCUCUCUGCAUUAUCUCUGUUUCUGCAGUUUUGUGUAUUCAUUGUUGUUGUUAUUGCUACUAUUUUUGUCUUUGCUUCUCAUAUUUGCUAAUCCUUGGUUGGCUAUUCACAUCUAAGAAUGAUGCUCUAAAUAGCUGUUGAUUGCUGUGUGCAUUGAGGCUGAGUCUUAUUGACUGCUGAACUCCUUAGUAACCAGAGUAGACAGAGUUUUUUUUUUUUUUUUUUAUAACUGAGGGUCCCCAAGGGUGACAUUUAAACAUAUUGAACGUCUUAUAUGGUCUAGGUGUCAUUCAGUCAGAGGAGACAUCCAGCCAGUCAGGAUGCAUUAACCAUAAAGGGCUCAUAUAAGAAUACUGUAUAUAUAGGCUGAAUUCAACCCUAUAAGUAGGGUUUUCCUUUGGGCCUAAUGGUUUCCUUAGAGAGGGCUUUUUCAGACUCCUGUCUUGGUGAAAUAGAAAUAAUAAUCCUGCUGCUGAGGUUGGAGGGAUCCCAGAAUUUUAAUGCAGUCUUUCAUUGAAUCUGCUCUGUUCCUUGUCCCUGAAACAUAGAACUUUUGUGAUUCAAUGUUUUCAGAAUCUUUUUUUCUGGUCUUCUUCAGGUAGGUAUGAAGUAAUCACCUAGUUAUUGGUAUGGGGAAAAUUUUGGGGUUCUUAUGCCUUUCUCAUUUUCAGAGAUGAAACUCCAAUUGAUUCCAAUCAUUCUGGGUUUCUUUUGUGUAAAUUGUCUUGCUUCCUGUUGUCAGUCCCAAACUAUUAAAUCAGUUACCACUUAUCCAACCACUUUCUUCUCUUUUUCUGUCCUGUGUCUUGGUCUCCAUCUUUCUCUUUUUAUUUUACAAACCUCAUUUGCUAUCAUUUCUUUUCAAAUUCUCUUUGCUCUUAUUGGUUUCAAACAUCUGUUUGUUUAUGUAUAUGUAUGUGAGCGUGCUAUGUGCAUGUUUAAUUUCCUUUAAAGUUUUUAGCAGUAUUCUAAAAGGAAAUAAAAUAAAUCUGUAAAGCUAAUCCAUUAUGUUUAACUAGAAGUUUUAUUUUAAAUUUGUAAGAUCUUUCUUCAAACAUAAUUAGUUUUUGACUGCAGAGUUCAUCAGCAUUUGUAUGUUCCCAGAAAGCAAAAUGAGAGUGAUAAGUAUUUUCAUUUUCCUCUGCCUGACCACCUUCAAAUUUGGGAUCAUUUGAAAUUUUAAUUUCAAAUCAUAAUAAAAAUAAUAACUUUUACUAGUAUGCACCAAUGAUUUGAAAUGAUUUAAACUGAACAAUACACAUUUAAUUGUUUUUCUCUUGCCAUGAUUUCUUAAAUCCCAUAUCAUUCUUUUUCUGGCUUCUUAGUUGGAGGAUGUAUAAAUGCUUGUACUCAUUUGAAUUGAUUCAGAUUAUAGGAGCUUGUCUGCAAUGACUGUGGGGACAGAACAGGACAGCCUAGCAGGAGGAGAUGGAGCCUCUCACUGUCCUCCAGGGUAUCAUCACUAGGUCCCUGUGAUAGUGAAUGGCCCCCUCUCUUGGGUCUCAGAGCUGGCACUAAUGUGCUUUAGCCUGUGGGCAAUCUCUGUUCUCUGGGCUGGAUGACCAGGCAGUUGCUCAAAAUGCACUGCACGGAUUAAUCUCGGAGACAACUGUUCCUUCACAUCCUUCUGCCAGAAGUUCCCAUAAUCCCCGUCAUCUCCACACUGCUUCUCUCCUCAGAGUUUUUCUGUUGUCUUAUUUUGCCAAGAACUUGAUGCUCUCUGUUCUGUAUCUUUUAUGAUGAUCUCAACAUCUUUGUUGUUGACAUCACGAUUUCUUCUUUGCCAGAGCUGUCUGAAUGUGUUUAAUAUAUUCAGUCAUGUCAGAAUAAUUGGGACGGGAGAGAAAGUGUGUUCAGUCUGCUGUUUGUUCCUAUUUGUAUACACACACUCUCACACACGCACAGUAUAAUGUUCCUGUUAACCAACUUGUCUACUAUUGUUUACUGUUUCAAAAAGAAAAUUGACUUAGUUUUUCCGUCUUUUGAUCUUAUCAUUUAAAAAAAAUGUUUAUCUUUCAUUUUGCUUAGUAUGAUCCAACCUGAAAUCCUUUAUAACAAGCCUCAAAUAAAACAACAACAGAAUCUUAACUCUGAUAUUCACUUAUUGCAUAUACUCUGUCAGGUGUCAAAGAAUGCAUCUGUAAAGACAUGGCCACAUAAAAGAGCCGAAAACUUUUGAUCAAAGAAAGUCAGGUUGUCCAAAACAGUUUUCUUCCUAGGGGGUGUUUUUAUUUUAUUUAUUUUAUUAAUUUUUUUAGAACAGUUUUCUGUAAAUAUACUAAUCUUAAAAGGUCUAUGUUCCUUCAGGGAGACUGAUACUUGUUCUUCCCAUAUUUUUCAUUGGUGAUCACCCCGUUAUCUGCAACUUUAUUACUAAAUUUAUUUUUUGGCACUUUUAUCCAUAUAGAGAAUAAUUGAUAUAUUUUUUUUUUUAGAAAAUUAGGUUUUCUAUAAAAUAGAUUAUUUUUAAAGAAGUAUAGCUGUGCUGUUUAAAUGUUAUAGGUUGGCUGUGAGGUGUCCCCCAAAAGCUCAUGUGUGAGACAAUGCAAGAGGUUUAGAGGAGAAGUGAUCCCUGAUGGGAUUAACUGAGUGGUUACUGAAGGUGGGAAGGGUGUGGCUGGAGGAGGUGGGCAUUGGGGGGAAUCCCUUUUGGGUAUAUAUUUUUUAUCUGGAGAGUGGAGUCUCUCUCUCUCUUCUUUCUGAUCACCAUGUGAGAUGCUUCCCUCUGCCACACUCUUCUGCCACAAUGUUUUUCCUCACCUGAAGCCCUGAGGAAUGGAGCUGCCCUUCUAUGGACUGAGACCUCUGAAACCGUGAGCCCUCAAAUAAACUUUUCCUUCUCUAAAAUUGUUCUUGUCAGGUCACAGCAGCAAAAAACCUGACUAAAACACUAAGGUUUGCUGUUUUCAUUUAUUGGUGUCAAAUUAUUGCUUUCGUGACAGAAUCCCACCUCUGAAAUUAUAAUGAUAAACCUAGGAACAUAAGUUAAUUUAUAGAAUUUCAUUUCAGACACUCUGUGGUAGGGUUAGCAUGAUUGCAUUGUUUGAAAUGAAUGCAUGCCAUGAAGCCUGGUGCACUUAAAUGACUUGCUUCUUUCUUUCAAGAAACCGAUUUAAAAGUUUAGUAUCAUUGCUUCUACAAAUUCAGAAAGACUGAUCAGUGCAUAAACAACAUUUGGUUAAGCAGAAAGAUCUUCACAUGUUUAAAAUGUUCACGAGUGGAGGUCUAUUUAAUGGGAGCAGGUUCACACUAGCAUUCCACGACCUAACUGAUUCCUGGGCUCUUGGCAAGAUGUUUUUCCUUUAAUGUACAUGAUUUAUGUUAUAGUACACAUAUGAUUCAUGCAUACUUCUAGACUUGGCAUGGAGCCUGUUUUGCUGUGUAUAUUAUUGUCUUACCAGAUCUCUCUGUUCCUGGGACCUACACCAAGUCUUAUUUAGAUUAUAGGGAAAAUAAGGGCAUUUUGCUGCUGUUACAAAAUAAUCCUUGCAAGUGUUUCAGUGUUUACAUGAGAUAACAGUCCUACAGAAAGAAAUGCCAGUUAUAUCUUCACAGCUGUGUGGCACCACCCCCAGCAGCCAGAGAAGGUGGAGUAGGUUUCAUAGCUCUUUCCUCCUGCCACACUUUAAACCAUGUGACUCAAGCUAAGAUGACACCAAAUUUCAGGAGAUAUAAAUGUGUUCUUAGAACAUGGAAUGAACAUAUUAAAUUUCUGUCUUGCUUUUGAAGAAAUUUACACUAUUUUAAAUAAAAAAGUCAACAGAAAAAAUAAUUAGUUGAUAUCGACUCAAAUACGAUAAACUCAUAUAUUUUAUUUAAUUCAACUAUUUUAUUUGGAAUUUAUUGGUGUCUUGUAUGUACUUACAGUGGAACCUUUUUUUAAAAGGAACGGUUUUUGAUUCAUAUUAUUAUGUUAUAAUCAGGAACUUUCUCAAGAUCAGACAAGGUGAAUCCGAAAAUACAAAUUUGUGAUUUGUGAAAAAGUAUAUUAUAGUUAGAGUGUUCAUGUUCGUUUCAUAGAACCCAUUAACACGAAACAGAUUUUCGACAAACAGUUCAACUUAAUUGUUUCUUGUCUAAAAAGAAAGACAAACGAUAUAUCGUGAUCACCUUCUAAACUAAUGACAUAUGGUAGUACUGGACGUAUUACUGUGAAAAUAGUCGAAACCUGACACAUAUACUACCACCAGGGUACCUAAUGUAACGGUUCACUGUAGUAUCAACAUGUUCAAACACGUGAAAUACUACACCGUACUGUUUUAAGGUAUCGUUGUGUAAAAAGUCUUACACAGGGACAGUACUUCGUUACUCAUCAACUUUUGAAAACGGAAGUUCUAAAAAAAUUCAGUACAAGUACACACACAUACAUACACCCUCUCUCUGUAUCGCUCUCUUAAAAUUUUCGUUUGAUGAUAGAGAUACGGAAACCAUUUAAUCGUGAGGAUUUUUUUUUUUUUUUCUUGUCCGUGGAAUGUUGAACAGAACCUUUCCCCUCGUGUCUUAGUCCUUUAGACUCAAGAGGAAGGUGGUGACUACACGGAGACCCACACUACAACUUCUUUGUAAAAGACCCUGAACCGAAGGACUAGAAUUUUACUCUCUCUUAUCCUAAAAUAAUGUUUUGCCGAAGGGUUGAGAGUUUAAAGUGUUAAGAGACUUUAUUUUACUCAAAAGAAUCAAGUGACUAGGAAUGUUUUAUUUUACUAUUACAAAUCAUCAGUAUUGGUAACCUUACUAAACAAUAUAGUAAAAGAAGAGGUCUUCUUUCCGUACGCUUAACAUCAAACAGGAUGUCCUGAGUCAGAUGUAACUCUUUAUUAAAAAAAAAAGAAGAGGUAGUUGAAUCGUUCGGAAUAGUAAAACCUUGCAUAAAAGUCAGAAAACCUAUAACAUUAGUUUUAACGUCAAUGUGGACAAAUGGUUUUAGCUGUGUAGUAUAUUAUUUCUAAAAUUUUUAAUAAAAGAGACUCUCCUUAUUAUAUCAAGCAUGAGUAUAUAUACUCAUGCUUGAUAUAAAAUAAUAUAUAUAUAUAUAUAUAUAUAUAUAUAUAUUAUUUUAUCAUACAUAUAUAUUAUACGUAUAUAUACGUAUAAUAUAUAUAUCAUACAUAUAUAUAUGUAUGAUAAAAUAAUAGACAGAAAUAUAGUCUGACAUUUUUUUCUUGUCCGUGGAAUGUUGACAGUGUCCUUCAUUCAAGGUCCUUCGUCCCUAGUGAAGACAAAUCAAGUCAUUUACAUCCUUGAGUUUAACAUGGAGGCUGCCUAGCUCCUAGAGUGUAUUUACAGAAAUUUAGUUGAUGAGGCUGACUGGGGUGGUUCUAUAUCAGAGACCAUAUGUCAUCAUGGAAUCAUCCCAGAAUUUUCCAUAAAGAAAAUAUAUGGCUCACAUGAAGUCUGAGUUCUUUGGUUUGUAUUGCUGAUGGGGCCACAUUUUUAAUUUUUUUAUUUUCGAAGCUAUUGAUGUUCUCCUUUUGGAGGAGAAUGGAGAUGGCAUUGAUCUGGCAUGAUCAAUUUUUCACAACCCCUAGGUGUGAGAGAGUUUUUAGAUGUUUCCUGUUUGGGCUUUGAUCUGUAGAGAAAGGCUAUUUAUAAACCAGACUUCAGCAGCAACCUUGUGAGGUCUCCUUUGUCCCUUUCAUGUGAACUUCGAUGACUUCAUAUUAGUCCCUAACCUCCAUUUACUGAAGUACUUGGCCGAGCCAUCUGACUCAUCACCCUGUACAAGGACAGUGUGACUCACACCAAUAAGCCGGAAGCAGGCCUGAAUUGAGGCAAGGCCAGAGUCAGGACACAACUAAUAGAUGCUGGAAGUGUUGACGGAAACCACUCUUGCAGAGGAACAAUGCGGGCUGAGCUUCAGUUGCCGGCUAUGACAUCAUGACCGAGAGGUGAGCACUCCCUUGCAUCAGAUAUUUUAAUUGUUUGCUUUAUAAUUUUCUUUCAAAAAUCCUGUUAACUGCUCAUGCUUAGAUGCUAGCAGUUCAAUGAUACUUGUUUGAAGAAUUCUGCCAGGAUUAGGGUUAUAAUCUCAAAUCCCCUUCCUUGCAUUCUUUCUUAGUCCCUCCCUCCCUCCCUCCCUCCCUCCCUCUUUCUCUCUCUUCCUCCCUCCCUUUUUUCUUGCCUCCCUUCUUGCUUCUUUCUUUCCAUCAGGGUGUCACAGUGAACGAGCUUGAGUUUGAGUCAGGCAGUUAGUUAUUAUCUAGAAUCUUGAUUGACUUGGCCAUUUUCUUCUGAAUCACUUUAACCUCUCUGAGGCUCGGUUUCCUACCUGUUAAAAGGCAGAUAAUACAUCACAGUGUUGUAGGGAGGCUUAAGUAAUGUCUUAUGGAUAGCUACUAUUUAUUAAACACCAAAUAGAUGCAUUAUCUAAAGUAGUCUUCACAGUAACUUUUCAAGAAAAGUGUGUGGUACAUGGUGGGUGACAUAAAUAACAAGGUGGGGAUCAUCAUACCUUUCACCUCCACAGUUGCUGCUACCAAAGUGAAACAUGUCAGUCACUCACAUAGUCAUUCAACAUGCAUUCCUUGAGAAACUUCUAUGUACCAGGUAAUGUAGAUUACUCAAGGGAAAAAUGAAAGGCCAAGAAUAAGGAAAAAUUACUAACUUUGAAGGGUUAUAAUUAGCAGAGAUUAGAAAUAAACACAAUCAAAACUGUGAAGAGUCCUGUGAGAAUAAGAAAUGCAGACUGGGUGUGGUAGGAUGGGCCCUGGAUUCCAAUUUGGGAAGUUGAAAGAGGGUUCCCUGCAGGAAAAAUCACACAUUCACACUGAAAAAGGAAGGAUAAAUAAAUGGGAAUUAGAGGUUAGAGUGUGUUCUAGAGAACUGUAUUUGCAAAAAGGUAUUGGGUUGAGAGGGGCUUCGACUCAGGAGAGAAAUCAAAAGUAGUUCUUUCUGGAAUUUGAAGCGGUGAAUGAUGAGAGUAGAAGCUAGUGAUACGCAGGACUUCCUGGUCACAGGAGGGUUAGGGACUCGUCUCAGGGAUGCCCUGUAGCUGUUACUGAGUUCUCAGUCUCUGUCCCUUAUCUUAGUUUGGGGACAAGAGCCCUACUGUGCUGCUGACCACCUGAACCUCUGAUAUGAGUGGGCAGAGGGUGAUGUGGCUAACCCCACCCUUGUGUAAUCUCUUGCCUGUGUUCUUGGUUCUGAGAGACAAAGGCGUCUCUUGCUAGUUACGGGGCUGGAUGCUGUGGGUCAGUUGGCUCUCUCUAUCGUCCCUACCCUAAUCUUGAGAAGUACUGAGCUAUGGCUCCACGAGGUUCUCAUUCAGGCUCCUUGUAGCCAGCACUGUACAGUCAGGAGUGCCCUCAGAGCAAGCUUCAGAAUCUGUCAGCUCUCACACCACAUGGCCUUCGGGAAUCUCCAUGCCAUUAGAAAACCUGAGCAAGCCAGACUCUGUGACGUGAUAGCCUAAUUACCAUUUCCCUUUUUUUUGGGAGUGGAGAGAGAAAUGACAUAUAGAUCAAUGAGUGAGGUGGAAGACUGAUUCAUUUAUUGACUCACAGAGAGUUUUUCCUUGAGCCAGUGCAACAGAAAGGACCAUCCUUGUAGCUGGGUCUGCCCUGGAGUGUUGAGAAGUCUGAACUGUGCCCAAGGCUCAGAGACAGAAAAACAAAGAGGAUGUUUAGCAACACGUCCCUCCAUGCUCACCUUGCUCUUGUGCAGGCAGUCCAGAGAUAAUUAACUCUGAGGAAGGUGACCCUAUAUUCAUUGUCCAUGUGCAGACAUUUUAAGAGUGAAAGGGGCUGCUUUUAAUUGGUAUAUUGGGAUGCCAGGCAUAAACGGGGAAUAUUGUAGGCCAACCAGACAUAUGGUUGUCCUAACCACAUGAUUACCUAGUAGUCAUUGGCCUGAUGACUACUCCCUAGUUGGUGCUCUCUGUGCUUAAGGAGAGAUCCUAGGGCCAAGAUGUUUCUGGAUCUUUUUUCUGCAUCUAUUUUUUUUUUCUACAUUCUCAAAGGCAGUUUUUGGAACAUUCUUCAUUUUUUUGAGAUCCUUAUGUUUCUGAGAGGUCAGUGUUAGCCAAUUUAAUCCAAGACAACUGAUUUCUAUUCAAAGCAGAGGAAGGGAGUGGUUAAAAUGGACAGUUUGAAGGGAAGAUAAUUUCGAAAAGGACAACUUCAGCUGUAUCUUCAGGCUCCUUAUAAUCCUUUGGUAAUUAGAAUGUGCAGGCUGAGACAUCAAUUUUAAAAUCAUCUUACCCAUAAAUCAUCUAUCACACAUUAUUAGCUCGGAUGACACAAGUCUACAUGAGUGGGGAUCAUUAUUUUUGUUAUUAUUGUUUGUCCAGAGGGGUGACAAGGAAAAAUAUACAUCACACUCACCUCCCAGACAAGAGUUAAGCAGGUGCUUUUUUGAUUUAUAAGGUGUUUCCUUCUAAACAUAUUUCUUAGUAAAACAAUUUUUAAAAUGUCAUUUUCCCAUGAAGCCAACACCAUCACUGAUGUAGUAUUUUCCUGCACCUCAAAUUAAGCAGGCCGUGGGAGAAUUUGGUGACCAAGUGUCACUGUCACUUAGCAUUUCUCUCUCCAUUACAGUGUAAUAUAAUAUAGUGUAGUAUCGUAUCGUAUCAUAUCAUAUCAUAACAUUUUUAGCAUUCUGUAGCAGAGACUCUCAGUUUAGGGUGGUUUUGCUAUCAGUGGACUUUGAUCAUGUUCCACACGGUUUUGCUCGCUCCCACAGGGGUGGGUGCUAUUUGCAUCUAGUUCUUAGGAGCCAGUGAUAUUGCUAAACAUAUUAGAAAGACACAGGACAGCUCCCCUCGCAAACAAAUUAGUUACCUGGACAUAAAUGUCAAUAAUGCUGAACUUGAGAAACUCCUCUGUAACAUCUUAAUCCUUAAUUUAUUCAUCCAACCAUUAUUUACUGAGAACCCACUAUGUUCCAGUCGUUAGAAAGCUGAGGAUAUUGGGGUGAACAAAACUGGAGAAAAAGUUUUCACUUUUGUUUUUCUUUGGAUUCUAAUAGGAGGAGCAGGUAAGAAAGAAGAUAAAUAACUAAAAUAUUGAGCAUAUCAGAAAGUUAUGUGUAGAAGGCAAAAUAAAAAAUAUAGCUGAGCAGUGGGGAGGGAAUGUCAGUAGAGAACAGUGAGAUUGAAGGCUGAGGUCACUAGCCAAGGUAAGUGCAUUUCUCACUGAUUGCAGAUGAAGGAUCUGAGUGAAGGACUGAGAGAUAAGGCUAGGACUCCAGGUUGGAAGUUUCUGACUCUUUGGUGAUCUAAAAUGUUAUUUCCACUAGGCUGUUUUAUAUAUUAUUGCCAAAAGCCAGGGUUGUCCUUGCUUCCUUUUGAUGAAUUUCCUCUUUCUUAACUCACUGAUAACCACCUCCAGCCCUACCCAAAGCCUUCAUUUCUAGCAUCUAUGCUUUUGUUGCUCAGAACAUUUCUGGACUGUAUCCUCGUCCUAGACUCAUUACCAUCAUUAAAUGCACUCAACUCAAUGCUCUCUUCUGUUGAAACAAGAAAAACAAAAUAGAGCUGGGGAUGUAGCUCAAUGGUAGAGCACAACCCAGCAUGUUGUGGCUCUGGAUUCUAUCUCCAUCCCUGAAAAAAAAAAAAAAGACAACAAUAACAACAACAACAAAACAUAAAAAUGAAAAGAAAAAGUCCCAAAGCCCCAAUCUUAACCCUAAAUGCUGCUCUGGCCUCAUUUCUCCUUCCUUUCAUAGGUAAGUAUAAAAAGAUGCUCCAACACAUCGCAUGAAAAAAUGCUCAACAUCUCUAGCAAUUAGAGAACUGCAAAUUAAAACUACACUGAGAUUUCAUCUCACUCCAGUCAGAGUGGCAAUUAUCAAGGAUAUAAGCAACAAAAUGUUGGUGAGGAUGUGGGAAAAAGGCACACUCAUACAUUGCUGGUGGGACUGCAAAUUGGUGCAACCACUAUGGAGAACAGUAUGGAGAUUCCUCAGAAAACUUGGAAUGAAACCACCAUUUGACCCAGUCAUCCCACUCCAUGGCCUAUACCCAAAGGACGUAAAAUCAGCAUACUAUAGUGAUGUAGCCACAUCAAUGUUUAUAGCAGCGUAAUUCACAAUAGCUAAACUAUGGAACCAACCUAGGUGCCCUUCAACAGAUGAAUGGAUAAAGAAAAUGUGGCAUAUAUACACAAUGGAAUAUUGCUUAACCUUAAAGAAGAAUGAAGUUAUGGCAUUUGCUGGUAAAUGAACGGAAUUGGAGAAUAUUAUGCUAAGUGAAAUAAGUCAAUCCCAAAAAACAAAACGCAGAAUGUUUUCUCUGAUAUGCAGACGCUAACAGUAAGGAAGGCGGUAGGGAAAAAUAGAAGUAUUUGGAUUAGACAAAUGGGAAUGAGGAGAAGGGAGGGGAAAUGGGAACAGGUAAUGUAGUAGAAUGAAUUGUACCUUGCUAUCCUAUGUGUGCAUAUGAUCACACGACCAAUGUAAUUCUACAUCAUGUACAAUCAGAAGAAUGAGUUAUACUCUAUGAUUGUAUAUGUCAAAAUACAUCCUACUGUCCUGUAUAACCAAUAAGGACUAAUAAAAAAGAAAUAUUCUCCAUAUGUGCUUUCUCCAUUCUUUACAUUCCCCAAUUGACUUGUAACGUCCGUUGAGGUCACCAAGGACCCCAUGAACUCCACCUGUGCAGGCUGUUUAAUCGGUGGCUCUUUCUUCCUAGGUCCCUGGCCACAGCGAUUUCUGCCCAGGCCCAUUCUCUAUUUGUAUCUCACCUGCUUCCUCUCCCUUGACUUCCAUCUCGUAGCUCUCUGGGGUUUCUGUCUUCCUCUGACUUCUCCUUCCAGGGAACCUUCAUGGGUUCCUCUAUCAUUCCUUGACUCACAGGUGUCCCCCAGCAUCCUGUCCUCUGCUUUCUUUUCUCAUCAACUGCGGCUUGUACAAAAGUUUUGUUUAGAGAAAUCCGAAGCCCUGUGACAUAGUUUGUCAUUUGCCUAGACACGGGUGUGAUGUGUGGGCAUGAGGACCAUCUCUGAGGGGAAUGCAGCAAAGUAUCCACUAUUUUCUCCCUUUACAGCUCAGGACCCUGCUCAGGGUCCACAAUGCUACCCUCAGCUGGAUGCUUGCCAGAGCACAGCAAGAGGAUGGUAAGAGCUCUCUAAUGGGUCUCUGUCGUCCCAAUUGUAGCUCCUUCCUUUGCUCUUGAACCUGGUCAUGACCCAGAUUCCACCCCUUCAUCUUUCAUGACACAGCCCCCCUCCACUCAUGUUUUCAUGCUACUGCUCAGUUCCCUAUCUGCCUGCACUUCCUCCCCUCCCCACCCCUGCUCCACACAGUUGACCUUGGGAAGUCCUUCUCAUUCUGCAAGGCUUACCUCAAACAUCACUUUUGUGUCCCUUUCUAGAUUUCUAGAAAAAAAUUUUUAUCUCAUAUAUAUACUCCCAUGCCACCCACAUCCAAUUAGGUUGUACAUUCCUUUAGGGCAUAUAGAGGAAGACUCAAGAGCAAAGUUUCUGUCCCCAAGAAAGCUGAUCCAUGAAGCAAGUAUUCACUGUUUUCUCAUUUUAUAGCUUCCAUGAUGCUCCAAAAUCCAAAUUUUAAAAUGUCUGAUACUAACUUGCUGUGUGACUCUGUAUGUUUCACUUAAUGUCUCUGAGCUAUAAUUUUAUCAAACCAUAUUCUGGCAAAUAAUAUUCUCAUUCUAACUCAAAGAAAUAUAUAAAAUUCUUUGAGUGUUUGGCAAAAAGAUGCCAUAAACCAAAGACAAAAUACAUGAUCAUUCACUGAAGAUUCUAUGUAACAUUUUUUAUUGUCAGACAUUUUGUUCAGAUCCCAACAAAGUGUAACUGUUUCCAAAGAAAAAUGUGACCUCUAUGUAUCUUUAAAAUUUGAAGCCACUCAUAACAUAACAAAACUUUGCCACAUAAUUUUUUUUUCUUGUGCGUGAGAUAGUCACUCAUCUUUUUCUUCCCUUUGUUCCUAAUUUUUUUAAAAAAAACUGAAGAUUUGCCUUUUACUUCCUUUCCCUUUCUUUCCCCCCUAAAGGGAAAGCAUUUCAUGUCAGAGGCAGAAGUAGAUAAAAUUAUGUGCUAGAUCUUGAUCUAAAUUUCUCUUAAAUCACCAGCAGCACUGUCACAGCCUGAAGAAAAGAAAGUGAAGCAAUGAUGACGGAGGAGUUUGAAGAAAAAAAGAUGUAAAGACGAAUGCUGGCUAACUUCAUUUACUUCAUUGUUCUAAAUUUUAGGACUCAAAUUAAUUUCUAGAAUAUUUUGGUGAAAUGGGAAAAUGUAAAUGUGUGCCAGUGAAUAAUUGUAAAAGAAAAUAACACAAGGGGUGGAAUUUUCUAUCAGAAUCUCACAAAAGUGGGCACUUUUGUUUCCUAGGGAAAACAUCCAUGAAACUAGCUUCAUCCAUGGAGAGAGAGAGAGAGAGAGAGAGAGAGAGAGAGAGAGAGAGAGAGAGAGAGAGAAAGAGAGAGAGAGAGAGAAUAUAGAUUUACUGAUUGCAUACCUGUGCUAUGUGUUCAUCUAACUUACUUCAUUUAAUAGUUUAGUUCAAUAGCUCUAUGAAGCUUAUUUUUUGUGCAAAACCAGCUAGAGUUCACUGCAGUUAGUGGUAAGUAGAGUCAAAUGAGGAACCUAUGGUUUUCUGGCUUCAACACCAUACCACAUUGAUGUCUUAUCAUAUAGAAAAUAAGUGUCAUGGCCUUAUGCAAUUUAUAAUCCAGAAAAGAAAUCCAAAUGUCUCUGUAAGAUGCAGAGGUGGUGCCACAUAUUUUCCUUUAAAUACUAUAAAAUAACUCCAUGUAUACAGUUAUGAACAGUCAGCCACACUGUUGGGAGGACAUUGUUUUGUUUCCCCUGGGCGGUGAUGUAAAAAUGGAGAUGCUACUUUGCUAACUUUUUUUUUUUUUCCAGCAGACAGUGUAACAUGUCACACGGAUUCAACCUCUUCACUCGCUGUGCAAAUUUGGUAAGAUAUUUUAUUUAUCUUAGGCUCAGUUUCCAUUUGCAAAUAUGAGACAAUGAUCUUUUCCUUGUAGGCCUGCUCUAAGAACUUAAGAGUUACUUGGAUUGUGCGUAGUCCUCAAAAAAAGGGUGGUUGUGAUGGUUUGUGGCAGUCAUUAUUGACAUGUAUUUCCAUGCAUUUGGAGAACUUUGAUGGGAGAUCUGACUGUGACCCUUAAUGGGGCUUCUUCUAUAUUCACUGACCAAUGUUGCUUGUUAUGGUUUGGAUCUAGAAGUGUCCCCCAAAAGCUAUGUGCUAGGAAACAGAUCCGUGUUCAGAGGUGAAAAGAUUGGGGAAUGAGGCCUAUAACUUCAUCAGUGGAUUAAUCAACUUGAUGGAUUAGUGAUUUGAAUGAACUACAGGGUGAUAACUGUAGGCAGGUGGGAAUGGAAAGAAAUAGGUCACUGGGGGCGUGCCUUUAGGCACUAUAUCUUGUCCCUGGCUCUGCAUGCUCUCUCUCUCUCUCUCUCACUCUCUUUCUCUCUCUCCUUCCUGAGUGCCAUGAACUGAGCAGUUUUUGGCCUCUACCACCCACUUCCACCAUGAUGUUCUGCCUCACCUCAAACCCAGAACAAUGAAGAUGACUGACCAAGGGCUGAAUCUCUGAAACAGUAAGCCAAAAUGAUAUUUUUCCUUUUCUAAAUUGAUCUUUUGUUGUUGUUGUUGGUACUGGAAAUUAAAUUCAGGGGUGUUCAACCACUAAGCCACAUUCCUAUCCCUAUUUUGUAUUUUACUUAGAGACAGGGUCUCAAUGAGUUGUUUAGAGCCUCACUUUUGCUAAGGCUGGCUUUGAAUUUGUAAUCCUCCUGCCUCAGCCUUCUGAGUUGCUGAGAUUACAGGUGUGCACCAUGGUGCCUGAACUAAGAUGUUCUUGUCAGGUAUUUUGGUCACAGUAAUGUAAAGCUGACUAACAGAGUGCUGGGCCGCAUGAUGUGUGCACCAAAGUGCUAAGUAAUUGGGUAUGUAUAGAACAGAUAGCAGGGAGGGGAGAUAAUGGAAAGAAGGAACCAAGAGUUCUUCUAAAAGAACAGCUCGCCAUUGGUAUUUGCUGGCUCUGUAUCUGUAGAUUCAACCAACUGCAGACCAAAAAUAUUGAAAGAAAAAUUGUGUUUGACUGAACAUGUACAGAUUUUCCUUUUCAUUAUUCCCUAGACAAUGAAGUAUAACAACUAUUCACAUAACAUAUACAUUAUGUUAGAUAUUAUAAGUAAUCUGUGCAGAUUAUAUGCAAAUGCUGUUCCAUUUUACAUAAAGGACUUGAAUAUUGGGAUCCUGGAACCAAUCUACCUGAUACCAAGGAGCAAUGACCUUUGCAAAAUCAAGCCAAGGAAAUGGCAGGGAUCUAUGGAAAGGAAAUGGGAAGGGGCUGGCAUGAGACCUGAAUUGUUUUUUUUUUUUUUUUUUUUCUUCUCUUAAUUGAAUAAUUCCUGGACUACUGGUCACAGAAUUCUCCUUCUGGGGAAUUCUCUUUCAAAGAACUCGCCUUACAAACACAAAUUACAAAAUAAUGGCAUAUGUUUUCUCUCCCUUAUUUCAUUCUUUAAUGUAAUACCUUUAAAGAAGAAGCUGUUUCACGUAAACCUGAUUAACUCUGAAGAGAGUGAUAAUCCAUCCAAACCAAUCCAAAUGAAGGUAAAAGGAAUAAUCAGGCUUCCAUUAUGCAAAAUGGUGCUCAGUUAAUUUAGUACAUUGCGCUGAAUAAUAAGCUGUUAGGCUCCACAUGGCUUUUUUCACGUUAAAUCAAAUUGCUUAUUGCUGCUAGAGCUUAUUUCAUAUCGCAUAAAAUUUGGAUAUAUUAUAAUGGAGUAGAUAUUAGUCCAUUAUAAGAGACAGGUUUAAGUGCUUCAUUUAUAGAAUCCCUCCACUUGGAAAAUGGUAAGGGAGAAGAAGAAAUGCAAACAAGGUAAUGGACAGAGGGGAUUUAUGUACAUUGCUUGAUGGGCCAGCUCUGCCUCGGUGACUGUGGUUGCUGUGCACAGGACCCAGUGCGUUGGAGAAAAAUCAGCAUUUCUAGUGGAAAGAAAAUCCAAAGCGAAUUUAUGUUCUUUCUCAGGGAAGUGUUGACAUUUUAAUUACUUUCUGUUUUCUUUGGAGCUACAUUUGAGAAUUGGAAGCAAGUUAGAAAAAUAAGAAUUAGCUUUAUUAGAAAUAAGAGGAAUUGACAUGUAGACCCCAGUUGGAAAGGGUUGAGGCUGGGUUCUUGACAAUAUGAAGUCUGCAGCAGGACCCAGAAAGCCAAGAAAACUCAGCCGCUCGAAGCUAACUGGAAGAGUUCCUGCUUGGUCAGGGCUUAUCAUCCCGGAGAGCAGACUGUGCCUCUGUGUGCAAUCUAAUCUUUUCCGGAUGUGCUUCACUUUUUAAUGUUUUUUAUUUUUCCUUUAAACUUUCGUCUUUCUGUAAACAGGGGUUUGUGAGGGUAAGUAAGAUCGAGAUACAAAAAAAGAAAAUGGUCAGAGGGAGUUGGAAUGAGCUGGGGAAAUUGAUAGUCUUAGAAUUAAUUUGGAAGAUAAUAUAAUUGUCUUUUGAUAUUUCAUAAAAGAAAAAUAUCUGUGGAGGCGAGGGUGGAACGGAGUAAUUGGCUUUAGGAGAUAUGAUAUAUUUGCACUUUUCCUCCCUGCACCUGGAGUCGCCUGGAAUUGAUUAAAUAAGUAUUUAACAAACCAGGGCGCCUACAUGUAUGUUCCAGGAUCAGCAAUCUAAAAAUAGUAACUCAGCACAAGAUGGAAAUUAAAAACCCUCUAAUCAACAUCUUUGUGGUGCUUGAAAGGGUGGUAACCUGAGGGUGUCAGCCCUGCCUGCCCCUUGCCUGCCCCCUCCCCUCCCCUCCCCUCUUCUCUCUCUGCUCCCUCUACUGACAUUCGUUUGUCCCCCUUAUAUUAUUUUUCCCCUUCCCCUCACUUCCUCUUGUAUGUACUUUUGUAUAACUCUGAGGGUCUCCUUCCAUUUCCAUGCAUUUUCCCUUCUCUCUCCCUUUCCCUCCCACCUCUCAUCCCUGUUUAAUGUUAAUCUUCUUCUCAUGCUCUUCGGCCCUACUCUGUUCUUAGUUACUCUCCUUAUAUCAAAGAAGACAUUUGGCAUUUGUUUUUUAGGGAUUGGCUAGCUUCACUUAGCAUAAUCUGCUCUAAUGCCAUAAGCUGGAUUUUCUUGAUUCCAUUUCCUGAGGAAUUCUCAAACAUAUUCAUCAUCUUGUCCUUUGUAUUUCCUGUAAAAUUACAGUUAGAGUUGGAGAUUUUAUCUGAUUCUGGUUCCACGUUUUGGUAAUACUACUUCUUAAGUAGCGGUAUUUCCGUAAAUAGAAGUGUGUGUGUAUGUGUGUGUGUGUGUGUGUGUGUGAGAGAGAGAGAGAGAGCGAGAGAGAGAGAUUAUCAACUCUUAAAAAUUUUUAUAUGAAUCCAUUAAUUCAUUAGUUAUAAAAAUUGUUGAUAUCUUAAUUUUAUAAUUUUUUUUAAAAAAAUAUAUCUUAAUUUUAUAAUUUUUUUAAAAAACCUUUAUUUUCUAGAGCAGUUUUAGGUUCACAAGAAAUUGAAUGGAAUGUAAGUAACAUUCCCACAUAAUCCACUCCAUAUAAGCUCAUUAUCCCCCAUGACCAGCAUCACUCCCCAGAGUAGGGGCUUAUUUAUGAAAACCAAUAAACCUGUAUUGACCCAUGCUUACCACCCAGAGUUGAUAUUUUCAUUAAAGCUCACAAUUGUACAUUCUAUGUGUUUUGACAAAUAUAGAAUGAUACAUAUCCACAAAUGAUUUUCUUUUCAUUUAUUGAAUUUCCUCUAUGGGGAGAAACUUCACCCCUCAUUAACAUUUGGUUAGCUGAAGUAAAAGAAAUCCAGAUGAAUGUAUUCUCAUUAUUAUUAUUAUUUAUUCUAGCACAGUCACUAGCAGAGGAAGGGGAUACAAUACACACGUCUUCAUAAAUUGAAUUGUAUUUGAUUCAUAUUAGAAUUUGCUCCAAAGAACUUGUACAAGACAAAGGAGGACACCAUGGUAUUAACAGAGACUAGAACUUAAGUUCCAUGAAAAAGCUUAAAAAGAAUCAAAUCUCAGUAAAGGCUCUCAGUACUAAAGUGAACACGGAGGCACUAGUGAAUCACACAAUUCUGGUACGGCCCGUGGCCAAGUCUCAUCAAUAUUCACCAAAGUAUUCUUUCCCCAACACAGGGAAAGAAAGAAAGAAAGAAAAGAGGGACAAUUUCUGAAUCACUCCCUCCAACCACGGAAAUGAUUUUAAUUACCAAUUCAUCUGUUGGCAGACUCUUCUGGCAGAUGUACCUGCAAGUUGGAAAGAUAACAAAUGAACCAAUUCCUUACUCCAGAGUUGACACUGAUAGUUCGGACUGAAUUUGCUCUCAGAAAAGAAUCCUGGGCAACAAUACAUCUGGCACUCUGCUCGAGGAAUUUGUCAUGUCGUUGACAUGUUCAGCCUCCAUUGUCCAUACCACCCCGGCAGCAGGUCCUUUAUGUUUCAGUGAAAUUGCAGUCUGAAUUAAUAUAAUUAGAAUGUAACUGCUAUUCACUGCACACACACUCCUUAUUUCCAGGAGUACAGAUCUGAUAGCAUGUCUGUGCUCAAAAUCUUUCCAUGAUGGCUGAAGGGGAGCAAGCAGAGAGGGGAAUGAUAGAACACUCACUAGUUCAUCAACCGUAUGAGCUAAUGGAAAUAUAGGAGGAGAGAAAGAAAGUCCUGACCUUGGCAUGUCUAAAGAUAAAUAUCUGUCAAGUUUCCUAGCCUGGAUAGCACUGUUAUAAAAUAUGUACUAUAGUCCGUCUGAAUUGAGAGAAAGAAGUGAACUAGGAAAGACCAGUUAUCUUCCAAAAGACAAUUAUAGUAAGUAGAGUGGAUAAUUCAGGGAUAGAAUUACAGAGUGAAGAGGUGGAUGGACAACUUCCUUCUUUCUUUCAUGUUUUGCUUUGCGCAGUGGAUGUCGCUCACCAAGCAACUGUCAUCAAGUGAAUAAUGAUUUUUUUUUUUACUAGAAUCUUGAAUUUCAGCCUUCAUUAAUUUUCUGUUCUUACAAAUUCUUGAUAUGGUAGAAAAGGACAUCAACAACUUUUUUUUUUUUAAAUAAGAUGGACUCACAUUUUCUUAAUUGAGUUUGAGUUUUCACUUGGAUGAUCCAUUGGAGGGGAGCACUGCCCUGACAUUAUCAGUAUGUUGGCUGGAGUUCAUGGUUUUGGCCUCUUUUCUUCUCUGGAGAACUGUGAAACUUGUGUACUGGAUGCUGUGUUCCUCCAAAUUCUACAUGGAAUCCCUAACCUCCUGUAUGAUGGUAUUUGGAGGUAGGGACCUUGGGGAAACCAUUGGAUUUGAAUGAGGCCAUGAGGAUAGGCCCCCAUGAUGAAAUGUGUGUCCUUAUAAGAAGAGGAAAAAGAGAUCAGAUUGCUAUCUCUGUCCCCCUCCACCAAAUGAGAAUACAGCUAGAAUGCAACUGUCUGCAAUCCAGGAAGACAGACCUAACAAAGGACAUCAACUGACUUGUACCUUGAUCUAGGAUUUCCCUGCCUUAAAUACUGUGAGAAAUAAUUAUCUGUUGCUUAAGUUACCACCCGAUCUGUACUAUUUUGUUAUGAUGGCCUGAGCUAAGACAGUGCAUGGUAUAAUUUGAGCAUGUGCCCUAAAGGUUCAAGUGUUGAAGGAUUGGCCUUCAAAGUGGUAGCAUUGAGGUGGUAGAAAUCUUUUAGAUGUAAGUCUCAGUGCAAGGUGAUUAGGGCUGAGGGAGGCAUUGUCCUUGGAAAGGAUUAAUGCUGGUUUUACAGAGUAGUCAGUUUUUGAGAGGGUGAGUUGUUAUACAAAGAGCAAACCUGGAACCUGAAUCCCUCUUGCUUUCUGUCUCACUAUGUGAUAUCUUCCAUAUACUCUCCUGCAAUUGUUAGCAUCUUGAAAACAUCAACAAUGAUUCCUUGCCUUCGUGCUAUCCUGUGAAGCAUUAACCUUCUCUCCCUAAAUUUGAAGGAACUGUCCACCAUUUUACAUUAACAAGCCUAGGGGUUUUCAGAAUUAAGUGUGUUUCGGAAUCAUAUGUGGUGGCUGGGGGCAUUGGAAGAGGAUUUAUUAAAAUGCCAAUGCCUGAAUUCCUUCUGGAUCCACAGAAUCAGAGUUCUCAGCUGUGGUGCCCAAAUAAUGUGAGUUGAAAUCCACUCCAACUGCUUUGAACUUGACACCUCUAGGCUGAUAUUCUCUUUCACAGAUACAAUAUUCAAAAUUACUAUACUAGCAGAUAUUUCUAUAGAUGAUAAGCAUCAUUUCCAAAAACAAAUAUAUUUAAUUUAUAUAAGUGGAGGUAUGUUUAAGACAUUUUGAGAGGGGCCUAUCAGAAUACUUGUGGGGCUACUGUGACCCUCUCCAGUGUAUACAUUCUUUUUCUCCUUUGUUAACAGCAUGCUUAGUUUCCCAGUCUGACUGUUCACUCUGGGUUAGAUAGAAAAUUUGACAUCUCACAUUUUCAGGCAAUUUACUUUGCAAAUUAACACAAUAGAGAUUUAUAUUUUAAUGUUGAAAUCCUUUAAUAAAGUAAAUAAUUGUCUCUCUUUCCAGAAUAUUUGUCUUAUUACUCUGGAUGCUUAAUAAUAGGAUUAUGUGUUAUAAACAUGUGUUUAGGCAUCCAAAUAUAUGCACAAAUGGAAAAUAUCAAGCUUACAUUCCCCAAAAGUGGACACUCAUGAGGUCUUGCCUUUGUUUUCUCUAAGGACUAUCCAAAUCAGAGUUCAAUGAAGGAAGUUUACAGAAAUCUUGUCCCUAGUCUCCUAGUUUCCACCCACAGCAGGCUCUGUUUAGUGGCCUUCAGAGAAUUCUCAUGGGGGUGGAUAGGAAGUGGAUUGGGCAUGGACUUGAGCUCCUAUCUGCUGUUUGACCAAUGGAUUUUUGGAUAGACUUGUCAUGCAAAAAAUAGCUUGAUUUAUUCCCGUGUGGUAGUAGAGACAGACUCCCAGGACCCGGAUGCCCCUUAACACCCCAGAGGACAUUAUUCUGAAUAACUCAGUAAACUGAUUAGUAGAGCUACUAGGCAUGAUAAGUAUAUUCCAAAAAAAGAUCUUUUUCCAAUUACAAAAGUAGUGCAUACUCCUUGAAAAGAAUACUAGAGGGGAAGGGAGAAAUGUAGGAAAGAUAAGAAGGGAGAAAGUCCAAGCGAAGUGCUGACUUGACAGUCGAAGCCCUGUGGACUAGAACCCAGCCUUCCUUGUCGUCUGCUUUUGGGUAAGUUACACCACACGUCUGAGCAUCCUUCUCAUCUGUGAAAUGGGAACCACGUCUCUCGCAGAGUCAGGGUUUGUUAAAGCACACUCUGAGGAAGGGUUUAGUGAAAUGACUGGAGUGGAGGGAGCAGCUGUAACACUAUAUACCAGAGAGAACAGUGUUGUCAAGGCUGGUAGCAAUGGGUGGUGGUUACUGAGUAUGUCCUUACUGGGCAAGCAGACUUGACUUUGAACCCCUUUUGCUUGUCGGCAGAGUUAUUGCUAUUGGUAUUCCUAGUGUUCUAGUCAGCUUUUUCAUUGCUGUGGCUAAAAGAACUGAACAGAACAGUUUUAGGGGAAGAAAAGUUUAUGUGGGGGCUCACAGUUUCAGAGAUCUCAGUCCAUGGGCAGGAGGCUUCAUUCCUCAGGGCUCAGGGUGAGGCUGAACAUCAUGGCAGAGAGUGUGGUAGAGGAAAGUGGCUCACAUGAUGAUCAGAAAGCAGAUAAAGACUCCACUCUCCAGAUACAAAUUAGAUACCCCAUAGCUCUGCCUGCAAUGAACCACUUCCUCCAGCCACACCCCACUGUCUCAGUUUCCCACUCAAUUAAUCCCAUCAGGGAUUAAUUAGUUUACUGCUUAGGUUAAGGCUAUAACCCAAUGGUUUUGUCCUCUAAACCUUCUUGCAUUGUGUAAUGUAAGUUUUUGGGGGGAUACCACAUCUAAACCAUAUCACAUAGCAUUAAAUCUGUAUCUUUUUUUUUUUUUUUUUUGUACCAGGGGUGCUUAACCACGGAGUGACUUCCCCAGCUCUUUUUAUCUUUUGUUUUGAGACAGGGGUCUCUCUAAGUUGCUAGAGUCUCACUAAGUUCUCACUUGCAAUCCUCCUGACUCAUCCUACCGAGCUGCUGAGUGUAUCACAUUUUUUAAAGAAAUUUUUGAGCUCUCUUAAUAUUAUGAUUAUCAAAAAUAGAUUUCAAUUACGUCUGUUUUCACGAUGUAUUAACUGAAAUCUCCUAAUCCUUGCCGUAACCUUACAAGCAUUUUUCUUAGUUUGUGAGAAUGAUUAAAAAAUAAAAAAUAAAACCCUCAGAAACAAUUAAUGUUCCUAAGAAAGUAAAAAAAAAAAAUCUUUGCAGUAAUGUUUCAUUUUAUCGUCAUAUUUUUCCUGAGAAACCAAUGAAGAAUGGCAGUUUUAUAUGUAAAACAGUAGUUAGCCUUUAUACAGCUGACAUUUUUCUAAAAGCCUAGAAAUAUUUCACAUUUGAAGAAAAACACCCGGUUCCCAUGUUGGAUCCGAUUAAAAUUCAAAUCUAUAUUAACAUCUCAUUACUGUUUGAAAAAGCCAACUGCACACUAAUGGAAAAUGCCCAGUGUCUGCCAGCCCUGCUUUCCCCUGGUUCUUUAGCAAGGCUGUCCUGGGACCUGGGAGGGCGGGGCCACAGUUACAUCCUUGUUAAAACAGCAGCCUGAAUGCUGGCCCUCAGUUUUGGUUUUUCCUUCCUUUUCCCUCUUCCAUCCCUGCAUUGUUUCAGCUGCCAGUCUUGCAGUAUUUUCUUUCAUGCAAGGGAAAAGGAAGGGCAAAAAUGACUUUGAAAGAAUAACAUUUCUUUCUAUGCACUUAAAUAGAACACUCAACACAGAACAUCCUGUGUUUCCUUUUAAUGGAUGACACGCUGACUUGGUGGUGAGCUGACUAAACACCAGGGCUUGACGUUCAGAUAGGUGUUCUUGCAGUCGCACUUACCCGCUGGAGAACAUUCUGCUCGGCUAUUUUAAGUGACAAUCUGUCUUUUUCCAGGCACUCUGGUUCUUCUUAUCCCCCGAUGACUUUUCUCUGUUAUACUUAUCACCUUCUGACGUGUGUUUAUUAUGGUUUUUGUUUAUUCUCUGACUUCCCUGGUCAUAGGUAAAUAUUACAGGAGCAAGCAUCUCUGUUUUGCUAGCUGUUGGAUUCCCUCUUCUAAAAACAGGACCAGGCCCAAAGUAGGCACUUAAUAAAUAUUUGCAGCUGCAACAAAUAAACUAGUUCCUACCUCAGUGUUCUCUCCUGAACAAUUGGGGGAAAAUAAUAGAUAAAAAAUAUGUUAUGAACACAUUCUAUAAAUAUAUUUAAGCCUAGUAGAUACAUUGGAGAUUACAGGUCUAUUUGGAGUGUAGUUGAAUAAGAAAUAAAUGAGUUGGAUGAAAGAGCAACAUUCCCUUGUCACUCUGUUCUCCUACUCGGCUUUAUUUUUCUUCCAACACUGAGUCCCCACAUUCAGUAUAAUACAUAGUUCUUUGUUUUUGUCUGCCUCUCCUUAGUAAAAUGUUAAGUUUUUUUUUUUUUUUUUUUUGUAUGGGGGUGGGUACCAGGGAUUGAACUCAGGGGCACUCGACCACUGAGCCACAUCCCCAGCCCUAUUUUGUAUUUUUUUAGAGACAGGGAAUCACUGAGUUGCUUAGCACCUCUGUUUUGCUGAGGUUGGCUUUGAACUCUCAAUCCUCCUACCUCAGCCUCCAGAGCCACGGGGAUUAUAGGCAUGCGCCACAACACCCGGCCAAAUGUUAAGUUUUAUAAGGGCAGGAUCUUGGGUGUUUUGUUUCCCAUUGCUUAGGCCAGUGUGUGACACAGAGCAAGCACCAAAGACACAAAUAUGCAAAUGUUUCCGUGAGUGUAUUCACUCCGGACUGUAUCUACCCCUGACCCUGACUCGAUCAGGAUUUGUGGUGUGAUUGGUCACUAAGAUCUAGGUACUGCUGAGGCAAAUGAUGGAUGGGGAGAUGAGAAAGGAAACAAGAUGAUCAAGAUGAUACUGAUAUUUUAAGUAUUUCAAUCACAGGGACAACUAUGGGUAUGGUGGGAGAACAGACAGGACCUGGCACUUAGUAGCUGGUCAGUAACGGUUAGCUAUCAUCACCAUCAUUAUCAUAAACCACAUUAGCAUCCAGGUGUUGGCACAUUAGAGCUUAUGGGCCAAAUCCAGCCUGUGGCCUAUUCUUAUAAAUAAAGUUUUAUUGAACAUAGCUCAUUCAUUUAUUUUCUAUGAAUGUUUUCAUGUCUAUGGCUAUUUUCAUUCUAAAACAGCAGAAUUGAGUAGCUACAGAGACUGUAUGGGUUGCAAAACCCAAAAUAUUUAGCAUCUGGCCCUUUACAGAAAAGGUACUUGAACACUCAUCUAGAAUAUUGGUCUGUCUCCAAUAUAACUAAGCCUAGAGCCAAUCAGGCAUGGUCCAUGGAUAAGUUUGAUCCUCAUUCUGAAAUGGGAGUACAGAAACUAAGUAUUUACAAACUUCUAUAACAAUUUGUCAUUGAAAACCCAGUGAAUGAUUUUGGUUUAUACAAAAAUGUUGCUUUAUGACAGUUUGGAAAUUGAAAAGGAUCUGCCCUUUCCUAGAGGGAUGGGUCUGUUUUGUAAUGGGAUGUUGAUCAUAUCAGUAACUUUAGUAAGUUAUGUUCAUGUUGGUUUUAGAUGAAAACAUCUGGAAGCACAUCAGGUGGGAGUGACAAGCGUGUCUUAAGAUUGCAAGUGACCUGGGAAGGUUGAUGAACAAGCACAUUAAUAACAUCGUGAAAAUGGAUUUUCUAUGUAGAUGAAUGGCUCAGCCAGCCACAGUUCACUUACCAGCUAAUAUAGUUGUAAUGUGUUGCUUGGUAUGGAGAGAAGGCAGUCACUUUAGGGUGUUUGGGAUGUUUCAUGCACAUAUAUAAAUAAAUUCUCUUUUGGUAAGAACGUUUUAAGUUGAUAUAUCAUCUUCUUUGAAUAGCAAGUCAUCAAUUUUCCUGGAAAUCUGGUGAAACAACAGUUAUAUGACCAGCCUUAUGUUUUGUUGCAUGUGCAUGUAAACAAAAAAAGAAAGAAACAAAAGAAAAAGCCGACUGACUUUUUCCUUUUCUGUUUUAGAAUCGGUUCCAAACAGUCAAGCCUGCCAGAAAAAACAGACAAACUCUCAAGAACAACAAUGCCUAUUAUGUGUGGUGGAGGAGCCGCCAGAUUUUGAUUACCGGACAGACAUUAACUCCUUUGGUGUCUCAUGCAAGAAAUGCCAAGUCUGAAUCCAGAUAUUUUCCAGAAUAGCAUGAGAUCUGCAAUUUACAGUGUCUUCUGCAAAAAAAAAAAAAAAAAGCAACUGAGAGAAGGAAGUGCAAGUUAAAGACCACAUCUCCUGGUUUCUCGAAUUCUGCCAUGACUCUUCCUGGUAAAUGGACAGACUGAGUACCUGUGCUCUUCCUUUUGCAGGCCUUAGGUUGUGGGCCAGAAGCACGUUACUCUACCCACCUGUCCCACCUGUGUUGUCUUGAUGUCUAAAGGACUGUCACAUUCUGCCCUCAUUGAGAAAAUGCAUGGGUUCCUGGAGGCUACCUCUUACAGUAAAACUUUGAGAAAGAAGAAUCCUUGCAAACUCUGUGAUCAGCAUCUCCCCCCCCCCACCCCAAUAGACUCCCUGAAGGCUGUCAGACUCCAUCCUGCUUUGAGAUCUCAGAUAAAGCAGAGAGCAAUGCGAUUUUCAGAGGGAGGAUGAUAAUAUAAGUAUUUAGACCAUCGUGUGUAUGUAUAUCCUAUGUGUGUAUAAAUACUAUAUAUUUAUUUUAGUAUUUCAUUUGUUCUUUCAUUUACUCUUUAAUACAUAUUUACAAAGAGUCCUCUGUGCAGUGGCUGUGGAUAACCAAGUAAGGUAUAAUCACAAUGUCUACCUUUUAGCCAGAUCUUAUUGCAUAUCAGCAUUGUGUUAAACAUUUUACAUUCAAAUGCAUGAAUGCACUUAAUCCUUAAAAAAAAAAAAACCUGAAGAAACAGCUCUAUUUUACAUCUUAGUAAAUUGACUCCCAGAAAAUUUAAGGACACACAUGUAGUCAAUAUCAGAGUAGGAUUCACAUACAGGUAUGUUUGAUGCAAAAUGCAUUUCCCUAUUUACUUUGAUGUUGUCUUCCCAAAGAUGAAUCAAAAGAUAAAACCACAUUAACUUUCUUUCUUGGAAUUCCCCUUCUGUUUGGUGAGGAAAGAAACACAUGUGAUCUAAUUCUGUUGAAAGGGAGGAGAAGGUAGGAGAGGGUAGAGGAAGCCUCUGUGGCUAGAAAUUCACUCAGCAGAGAGAAACUAGAGAGAUUUUGGCUGAGUGUGUCUUUGUUGGGUAUCAAGAGAACUGAACUCACCCAGAGGCAGAGAUAUUUCUGGCUCAAAGAGUAAUUCUGUCACACAGAAUGGAGGGACUGGUCAGUGGGAAAUCCUUUAAGGCUGUUUCUCCACUUAAUUGCCCUUAUCUUUUCCUUCUUUUCAUUCUUAGGUUAUUUCCAGUCCUUACUAAAAGAGGAACCAGGGAGACUGUGAACUCAGCCAGGUGGAAGUGAUAAUGAUUUUAGAGAAACCACAGGAGAAGGAAGAGCUCCUCCAACCGUCUUCUCACUACCACAAUGGGACCCAUACGGAUUAACUCUUUCAAGGAUGGAGGUGUCUCCUCUCCCUAGAAAUAAAAAUGCAAGUUUUACGUAGGUUUUAGUGUUGUGUGGAGGGAAAACAAGGACUGAUCUAUUUGGUUCUCUUCACUUGAUUCACCCUGAAGGGCUUGCUGCCCUAGAGAUAAGUGGACAGAUGAAGAAAAGUAGUGUCCCCAGAUACCCCGAUGAAGCCAAUGCUCUCUGAAAGGAAGCAGCCACACAUUUAGCCCAGGGAGACCUUUUUGCAUCCAGGAGAGUGAUUUGGGUCAAAGAAAAGGAGAACAGUGACAUUACUGCCAGACUGCUUCUCUAACUAAACCUUUAGCUCUUCUGUUCAGGACAAAUGGGAAUCAGCCAGCAUAGAUGUGACCUGUCCUGUCUGCUGGUAACCACAGUAUCAUAAUUCAUUGGAGUUUCACUUUAAGUAUUUUAAGAAUUACCUGUGAGAUUUUGAGGGUCAAUAUUUUAGACUAUCAUCACUAUUGGACUAUUCAUUUGAAUACUUCUGGGGUUUAUGCCUCUUUUCAAAAGAAACAGUGGGCUUCCCUAUAUUCAUUACAAAGUCUUCCUAGUCUUCAAAUCUUCCUGUGAAGUGUCUCUUCUCUAGUCUUUUAAGUAUACCGUGUGACUGUAUGUCCUCCUCUGAGAAGUGUCUGUUCAGGUCCUUGGCCCAUUUAUUGAUUGGGUUGUUUGUUCUCUUAUUGUCUAAUUUUUUGAGUUCUUUGUAUACUCUGGAUAUUAGGGCUCUAUCUGAAGUGUGAGGAGUAAAGAUUUGUUCCCAGGGUGUAGGCUCCCUAUUUACCUCUCUUAUUGUUUCUUUUGCUGAGAAAAAACUUUUUAGUUUGAGUAAGUCCCAUUUGUUGAUUCUAGUUAUUAACUUUUGUGCUAUGGGUGUCCUAUUGAGGAAUUUGGAGCCCGACCCCACCGAAUGUAGAUCGUAGCCAACUUUUUCUUCUAUCAGACGGCGUGUCUCUGAUUUGAUAUCAAGCUCCUUGAUCCAUUUUGAAUUCACUUUUGUGCAUGGCGAGAGAAAGGGAUUCAGUUUCAUUUUGUUGCAUAUGGAUUUCCAGUUUUCCCAGCACCAUUUGUUGAAGAUGCUAUCCUUCCUCCAUUGCAUGCUUUUAGCCCCUUUAUCAAAUAUAAGAUAGUUGUAGUUUUGUGGAUUGGUUUCUGUGUCCUCUAUUCUGUACCAUUGGUCCACCCGCCUGUUUUGGUACCAGUACCAUGCUGUUUUUGUUACUAUUGCUCUGUAGUAUAGUUUGAAGUCUGGUAUCGCUAUACCGCCUGAUUCACACUUCCUGCUUAGCAUUGUUUUUGCUAUUCUGGGUCUUUUAUUUUUCCAUAUGAAUUUCAUGAUUGCUUUCUCUAUUUCUACAAGAAAUGCCGUUGGGAUUUUGAUUGGCAUUGCAUUAAACCUAUAGAGAACUUUUGGUAAUAUCGCCAUUUUGAUGAUGUUAGUUCUGCCUAUCCAUGAACAGGGUAUAUUUUUCCAUCUUCUAAGAUCUUCUUCUAUUUCUCUCUUUAGGGUUCUGUAGUUUUCAUUGUAUAAGUCUUUCACCUCUUUUGUUAGGUUGAUUCCCAAGUAUUUUAUUUUUUUUGAAGAUAUUGUGAAUGGAGUGGUUGUCCUCAUUUCCAUUUCAGAGGAUUUGUCGCUGAUAUACAGGAAUGCCUUUGAUUUAUGCGUGUUGAUUUUAUAUCCUGCCACUUUGCUGAAUUCAUUUAUUAGCUCUAAUAGUUUCUUUGUAGAGCCUUUUGGGUCUGCUAGGUAUAGAAUCAUAUCAUCUGCAAAUAGUGAUAAUUUAAGUUCUUCUUUUCCUAUUUUUAUGCCUUUAAUUUCUUUCGUCUGUCUAAUUGCUCUGGCCAGUGUUUCGAGAACUAUGUUGAACAGAAGUGGAGAGAGAGGGCAUCCCUGUCUUGUUCCAGAUUUUAGAGGGAAUGCCUUCAGUUUUUCUCCAUUCAGAAUGAUGCUAGCCUGAGGCUUAGCAUAGAUUGCUUUUACAAUAUUGAGGUAUGUUCCUGUUAUCCCUAGUUUUUCUAGAGUUUUGAACAUAAAGGGAUGCUGUACUUUGUCGAAUGCUUUUUCCGCAUCUAUCGAGAUGAUCAUAUGGUUCUUAUUUUUAAGUCUAUUGAUGUGGUGAAUAACAUUUAUUGAUUUCCGUAUAUUGAACCAGCCUUGCAUCCCAGGGAUGAAUCCUACUUGAUCAUGGUGUACAAUUUUUUUGAUAUGUUUUUGUAUCCGAUUCGCCAGAAUUUUAUUGAGGAUUUUUGCAUCUAGGUUCAUUAGAGAUAUUGGUCUGUAGUUUUCUUUCUUUGAAGUGUCUUUGUCUGGUUUAGGUAUCAGGGUGAUGUUGGCCUCAUAGAAUGAAUUUGGAAGUUCUCCCUCUUUUUCUAUUUCCUGAAGUAGCUUGAAAAGUAUUGGUAUUAGUUCUUCUUUAAAGGUUUUGUAAAAUUCUGCUGUAUACCCAUCUGGUCCUGGGCUUUUCUUAGUUGGUAGUCUUUUUAUGGUUUCUUCUAUUUCCUCAAUUGAUAUUGGUCUGUUUAGGUUUUCUAUAUCCUCCUGACUCAAUCUGGGCAGAUCAUAUGACUUNGGGGA